UUUUCAGUACAAGUUAAUUUGAUAUCGUCACUGUAAAGUACUAAAUACUUCAAUCUCCAAACCAUAUCUCGGUUUUGUCAACAAUACAUAACACAUAAGUAUUAUCAUAUAAUAGGAAAAUAGAUAUUACAAACACUGCAUCAUUGGCCAUAUUGUACAAAGUACAAAACUAUCACCAUCCACCACAAAAGCACAACAUGCAUGUGCCUCUAAAACACACUCUUUAUUAGGUACUUUAAGCUUAACCAACUUGUCUUAAUUAAAAUUACUUAGUAUGAGCUAACACCAUCUUGUGAAGAUUCUCUAGUGACCAUUGAAUCAAGUCCAACAGAAGCCCCAUUAACAAAGUUGCAUUGUUUUCUAAUUUCACCUUGAGCUCCAGUCAACACUCCAAUAUUACCCAUUUUAAUCAUUGAGGCCUUAAACUUUUCAAAGAAAAGAGUUUGAUUGUUGUUGAAGCUAUUGACAAUGGCGACGGUGUCUGAUCCGCUUGUCGAAAACAACUCUUGAUCACUCUGAAACAAACCCUUUUGAACUUGAAGAUUGGAGUAGUACUUUGAGUCGAAUGUAUUGGGAGUGGUUAAGUCCAAAUUGGCGAGGGUGGUACCCGGUCCACCAUUGGGACAUAAUGCUUGCAAUGUUUGCAAGUACGUCGUGUUGAGAGUUGGAUCGGGAUUUCCAGUGUUGCUGAAAUUGUAUAAUCGAUUAACGAAGAAUUGGCAUUGACCUCUACCGAUCGUAUGAGCGCCUAAAUUAGAUAAAUAGCUUAUCAGAUAUUAGUUCAGUAAUAAGAGUUUGACGGAGUUUGAAUAUAGAAGACUAUUUUGUGUAAGAUUAUACCUGAGAGUGCAACUAGAUCAGUAGUGUUGAGGCCUUGACGGGAAAAGAAGGAUUUUAGUGUAGUAAGGUUGGAAGAGGGGCCAGGAAGAUUUGCAUUAGCAAGUGAUUGAUUUGCUGUUAAACUAUCUCUUCUUCCCAAUGGAACUUUCCAAUCAGGACCGUUAGCCUAUGAAUCAUAAGUUGAUAGAAAAAAAAUGAGAAUCACAAGUAAAAUAUGACAGAAGAAUUUGUAUUCAUAAACGGGCACGGCUACUCUGUUUAAUUACGUAUAACAAAAGUUCAAAAAAAAUGGAACAAAUGACAGAUAAAUAUAAUUGAGAAUACAAGUUUAAAAAUUGUAAAAAAAAAUUACUAAUACUAGCAUUCGAAAAAAAGGUGAGUUCAGCGAAAAUAUUAUAGAUUGAACACCUAAAACUUUAGUUUGAAAAAAAUACAGACAAAACGAGUAUAGUUGAAUCUGGAUCUGUUUUUCCACCUUGUAAGUAUUAUUGAUUAGCAUAUACAAAUAGAAAAUAAAAAAAUUGUUAUACUGAAAAUUGAAAAUAAAUGAGUGAUUUUAGAGCAUCAAAUAUUUUGAGGCGAAAAGAGAGUUCAUUUUCUAUAUAUAUAUAAAAGAACAAGUACUAACACAGUGAAAAGAACAAAGUAACAAUUAAAUCCGACAAAAGAGUUUCCAUCAAAAGAAAAUUCCAGCAAAUAAAUAAUUGUGCCUUUUUUAAAAUGAUAAGACUCUUUAUGUCACUAGCAUGAUAAAAAUAGAACAAAAGAAUAUAUUUCAACCAAACUUUAUUUACGGUAACGAUUCUCAACUCUCGAGUGCAUAUCAAAGACUAGAAUUCUAGAACUUUAUUUAUGGAUCAUACCAGAACAGAUGAAAUUUCAGCAGAAAGAGCAAGAAUAUCAGCACAAGAAACGGUAUUAGGACAAGCAUUUUCCACCGCAGUUUUGAUUCGAUUCACAACAUCCAAACCUCUUAUUGAGUUGUUAUUCGGAAAAGCUCCUUGUUCACUCACGAUCGUCGACGUGUCAUUCAACAAGAUCGAUGCAUCACAACCCUUCAUAAACAAUAUAUAGAAUAUAUAAGCUAAAUAUAGUAAGUUCGAUAAAAUUACUCAGCAAUUAUGUAAAAUACAUACUUGAACAAAGCAAUCAUGAAAGUGAAGCCUGAUGAAACUGGCAAGAAUACGAGGAUCCGUCUUGGAAACGUUCCUUAGAACUUCGCGAACAAUGGAAUGAACAUUUGGACAAGAGGUUUUGUAGAAGGAAGGAUCAAGCUGUGCAUCUGAAGAGAAGGGUAACCCUCCAAGCACAACAACUAGACAGCACAAAGCUGUGACUGUUAGAUGAAGAGAAGGGUUCAUUGUUGUUUCUUUAGUCUGUGCUUGUGCUUACCACAAAUGGCAUUGUUUAUUUAUAGAGAGAAAUGGCUUGUGAAUGCAACGUACAUGCAUUUAAUUUUCUGCUUUAGUGGUUUAAAUUAAUGAUAAUAAUUUGAAUUUUUUAUUCAUGUUGAUCUAACUAUAGAGAAAAAAAUGUUCAAAUCGCUGUCGAACGUGAGCAGGUACAUGUUGAGAAGCACUGAUACGUCAUUGAGAAAUUAAAAUAUGUUAAUUUUCUUUUUCAUUUUUAACUUUGUAUAAACAUUUCACCGGAAGUAUUUAAAUUAAGUGAUGAAUGCAAGAUAAAGAUUAAUUGAUAUGCACCAAAAAGUUUUACAUCAUGGUUGCAUGACAAGAAUUCAUAGAUUAUACAUUAAAAUUGAUUAAAAUAAGUCAAAUACAAGUUAAACUUUAUUAAUUAUGAUUAAUUAAUUAUAUAAAAUCUUUAAUUUUGCAUAUUAAUUAAAUUUGUAUAAGCAUUAUUUGUUGCUUAAAUAGUAUAUUGUCUAGCUAAAUUAGAGAGUUUUUAGUUUUUAUUCCUGAAAAAAGAAUUUAUUAAAAGAACUUUUAAUUUUUUUUUUAUUUGUAUUUAUUGUAAACGGAUAUCAAAAACGGAUAUUAAAGCGAUUUUUUCAUUCCAAGAUCAUUUUAAAUAAAUCAAAAUCAAAAAAAUCAAAAUCUGGUUAAUUUAGACUAUUUAUCUAUUUAAAUUUCUAUAAUAUUCUAAAAUAUAUUAUUAAAAAUUAAUAAAUUAUAUAUAUAUAUAUAUAUAUNNNNNNNNNNNNNNNNNNNNNNNNNNNNNNNNNNNNNNNNNNNNNNNNNNNNNNNNNNNNNNNNNNNNNNNNNNNNNNNNNNNNNNNNNNNNNNNNNNNNNNNNNNNNNNNNNNNNNNNNNNNNNNNNNNNNNNNNNNNNNNNNNNNNNNNNNNNNNNNNNNNNNNNNNNNNNNNNNNNNNNNNNNNNNNNNNNNNNNNNNNNNNNNNNNNNNNNNNNNNNNNNNNNNNNNNNNNNNNNNNNNNNNNNNNNNNNNNNNNNNNNNNNNNNNNNNNNNNNNNNNNNNNNNNNNNNNNNNNNNNNNNNNNNNNNNNNNNNNNNNNNNAUAUAUAUAUAUAUAUAUAUAUAUAUAUAUAUAUAUAUAUAUAUAUAUAUAUAUAUAUAAGUAAUUAAUCUAAACAAAUAUUUUAAAAUUUAAUUGACACAUUUUAAGUGAAUUUAAUAGAGAUGCACUGAUGGUGUGAAAAUGUUUAGCGCUAUCAUUCAAUAAAAAUAUAUCACUAUAUUAUAUUAUAUCAAUCCUCAUUAUUAAUCAUAUAAAAUUAAUUUAUAUUCAGCGCAUCAUUUCUUUUAUUAAAAUAUAGUUAAAAAAAUAUAUGAUUGAGUUCAAAAUCACUGCAACUCAUUUAUUCAGUUUUAAUGGGUGGAAUUUUGACUAAAAACUUAUUAAAUAAAAAUUUAAAAAUAUACUAGUAGGAGUCAAACAAAUAUACUAUUAGGAUGCAAACAAAUAAAACAUGGUUGGAGAUUGCGACCAAAAUUUGUCUCAUCGAUAAGAACGAUAUAUAACAAGAAAAUUAAUUUAGGAGGUCCAUAUAAAUUUUAAAAACGAUAUAUAACAAGAAAAUUAAUUUAGGAGGUCCAUAUAAAUUUUAAAAUAUCAUCAUUUAUAGUACUUGUUGAGGCAAUUGCCCAUAAGCUCUCUAAAUGAAAUCACCUAAAAUAAAAUGUUUUUUUGUAUGGUCAAAUACCUAGAAUAAAAACGGCAAUCAUCCUUUGAGGAAUAUCCCAUGUACCUUCAUUGGCAAUAUCUCUCACCUUCACAAAUUUUAUAAAAAAUAUUAGUAAAUUUAAUUUAUAUAUAGUAACAGCAUGAAGAGUUUUUAUACAAUAAAUUUAUAAAAAGAUUUAACUUUUCUUAUAAGUGUCUUCAAAAUAUUGUCUAUAAAUGACUAUGAUAUAUGAUAUAUUGACCUUGUAAAUUUAUGAGUUGAGAUUCUUUUCAUUUGUUCUCUUAAUUAGUAUAAUUUAUAAAGUAAUUAAAUCUAUAAAAAAAUCUAUCAAAUAUUACAUUAUUACAUUUAUAUUUAUAAAAAUUUAAUAAUAAAAAAAUAGAGGAUCUUAACCAUAAAUUGUAAUACUAAAAGUGUAAAAAAAAAUUAAUCAAACAUUCAUAUUUUUAAAUUUUUUCAAGAUGUUUUUUUUUCAUAUUUCGUCAAGCAAAUCAAGGGAACACGUACAAAACAAUUUUUUAUAUUGUUAAUUUAGGUGUUCAUAUUGUUCCAUUGUGGAACCCGAAUUGGUAAGUAUUGAUGGUGAGGGAUCAUGGAUUAGUGGGCAAAUAUCUGAUAUGGUGAUACGGGGUGGACCUGCAAGGUUAACACUUCAACGUUCAAGUCAAUUUAAGAUUCAUGAUGAGUGUAGUAAAAGAUAUAGAUCAAAAAAGUGUACAUUGAAUAUCACGUAAACUAGCUUUUAUAUGCUGAGUUAUUUGGAUUAAACUUGCAUCUAGUUGAGCUUUGGCUUUGGAUCUUUGACUGAUGCAGAACAGUUGCCCCUAAGGAUAGUCAAACAAAGAUUAGCUGAUGAAGUCUUCAGGGUCGUGGUCGAGCCUAUAGGAAGGAUGUUUGCACUUGGAUAGAAGUGGAAACGUCUUGGAUUAGUUGUAAAAGUAAUGGGGGACAUACAUAUUAAGUGUUUUCCCAUCAUUGAAACAUUUUGCUGAUCUUCCAUGAAGCGUGGCUUGAGAUGACAAGUCUAGGGCAUGAAGUUUUCUUAUAGUGCACUUGAGUUUGUCUACGUUCCCUAUGAAGAAUCCAAUCGUAGAUCUUGUGACCUCUUACUUUUGUUGAUUUAGUCUAUUGCUUUCCUUCGCAUAUAUAUAAGGGUUUUCGAGUGUUAAGGGAUUUUUUUGCAAUUUGUAAGAGUCAAUUUCUAUUUGAGAGCGCAUUUCCCUCUUCUUCUCCAUAAGUAUUUCGCAGAGUGAUUAAUGCCCCUUGAACAAAGCGUUCAUUCUUCCCUAUCAAGUUUCACUUUCUCGUCAGCCUCUUCUUUACCCGGUACUAUCCUUACCUCAAGCUUUUCAUAACUUCAAAAUUUAUUUUAUCUUAGCCAAUAUGAGCAAUAAUCACAUUAGUUUACAUAGCAAUUCUGAUAGUGAUGAAUCUCUCGUAGUUAGGGCAGAAGUAUAUUAUGGUUCAAACUUUUCCCCCUUUAUCAUCGAUCAUUUGGCCCACGAGGUCAUAAGUAUAACCAAUUAUUUUGAUUUGGAACGGUUCUCUAUGGGCUAUACGGAUGAGGGAACUUCCUCUAGGAAAUAUUCUUUCGACACUCUUUUCUCUGAUGACAAAGUUAAAAGGGACCACACUGCCAUUUCCAUGCCCCUUCUUCUUAUGGUGCAUGAACUUCGGCUUUUCCCGCUCUGAUGACUCUGGAGAUAGAGGUUGAUAUCUUGAAUUAGAAAGGUGUCGAAUACUACGCUAAGGCCUUUUAGAAAGCCUAUGGUCGAGACCCAAGUGCAGAUAACCUCAAGGAUCAUCUAGAGUGUGGGGCCCGACCGGAUGAAGUCAGUUAGUUAAAACCUUUCAAGAUCUUCAAGGUCGAUGAGUUAUCCUUAAGAAAGGACAUAUUGGUGGAAUUGGCCGAUGCAAUCAAGUACAACUAGGUGGAUACAGAGAUAGUGGAGACCCCAUCUAUUUUAAGUACUCACACGACCGUAAAUGCGAACAACAAUGUAGUUGGCAGUCCUUAUGAUUGGUUGGUCCUUCUGGUUGUUCCUAAGAAAAGGAUAUGAAACACCUUUGACGGUAUUUCAAUCCCCUUUUAUGAGUGCAGUUCACCUGGAUAAAUAUGCGGUUUCCUUUAUCUGACUUUGAUGUGGAGGUGUUAAAGUAUCUUAAGAUUACCCCCUCUCAACUUCAACCAACUUCCUUGGCUUAUAUAAAUAUGUUCCAAUCUUGGGUUGAGUAUGGAUCUUGGAAACCUUUUUACCGGUUGUUCUACAAUCUGUUCAAACUUACACGCUCUUCCUAGAAUUAUAUUCGGAACCAUGAGCCUAUUGAGCUUUGCCAACAUAUUCCUUUGUGCAACCUUUUCUCUAAGGACUUGAGCGUUUUACUGGGGUGUUUUGUGUUGGUGAGGCCCCGCACUUGAGAGGCUCUCUUUGCCUUCUACUCUACUCCUUCAGAAUCCUCUUACUCUUGUAAGGGUAGGUUUCUGAAAUAAUGGCCAUGGCCUUAUUUCCACUUUUAGCCUCAUCAUACGGUAUCAAAUUGGAUUCUAUCACCGAUGAAGAAAUUAUGAUGAAGAGAGACCUGGAGUCUCUCUACUAGGGACUUGUUUAUGAAUAUGGUUUGACCCUACAGAAGUGUCGUCUUCCUUUUAGAGGAAAAAUUUUAUUGAUACCCGCACUAUUGUGAGUAUGGUCGGCCGUCUAGAGAGGAAAGAGAUUUUUUGUGAGGAUUGAGUUCUUGAUUUUUUCAACUUAUGUGUUUGUACUUGUAGAUAAAAUGAACUCUUUACAGAAGUUUUAUGCGAUUUCCACUGCUCAGAAUGUCAACCCUAGUCCCAUGAAUCGGGUUGCUACUCCUCUUACUAUAACUCUUAUCGCAUCCUAUCUUGUUAAGGCUACCUCAACUACCUUUGGAGUUGAUUGACUUAUUCCUAUCACUACUGCUCUAACUAUAAAGGAUCAUCCUCGGGCUUCUACUACCCUGAAAAAAAGAGACCGGGAUAUGGGCCAGAGUCCCCUUCUAGAGGAAGAUUUUCCAAAAUGGGCUCAUUUUUUUUAAAGGUGAUACUUUAAGAUCGGCCACUCCCCUUCUCAAAUUCCAUGUCAUCCUUCCUACAUGAAUUCUCCACACUCCCGAGGAAGUUAAUGUUUAUAUAUCCAUAGAGGAUCUGACCUACCUCCAAAAUCUUCUCGAGGCGAAUAAGAUAGAGCUUUUUUCUUAGGCUACCGCCUACACUUAUCAUGCAUAUUUUAAUUUUUUAUUAGUUGUUGGUGGUGAGGCGACCACUUGUCCAAGGUUAAUCCUUCCAAAGAGAGAGACACCUGGGAGAUAAAGUGUAAAACCUAGGAGUGGAAGUGCUCCAAGUUUCAAGAGGAGAUAUAUGCUCUCCGGGAAAAUGCUUGUUGUGUUGAGGCUUUCUAGGAGGAGGCGAAUGUACACAACUCUUCUUCCACUUUGGAUGCCCAAAUCACUGAAUUGAAGACUUCCUUUGAAGAAGACAAGAAGCACUGUCAAGAGACAGCUGCCUUGGUUACGAAGGAAAAUUAUCGUGAUGAUGAGGCGCGAAAAGUCAUUCAACGAGAGAAGGAGUCUCGUGCUGAAGACUAGAGGGCUCGUGAUGGCCAGGUGGCUGAGAUGAAGGAUAGAAUUUGGGAUUCUUUUAAGAAGACUUUGACGAACAUGUCUGGAGCUUUUGACCUGGAAGUGGACCAUGCAAAAGGAUUCCUCCUGGAUAUCACCAUUACCAACACAAAAUUAACUUGUUCAAGUUAUUUAGGAUAGGGCUUUGAUGGACAAUCGUGGUGCAUCGUGUUAGAGUAAGGAAGCUUUAUUUUGUUUUCUUUCUUCUUUUCAUGUAAUGUUAGUCGAGCUUUAUGCCUUUGCGAAGAUAAAAAUAUUUAUAUAUUUACCUUUACACUUGGUGUCUUAAUUCAUAUUUUUGUGCUUGAUAUAUUUUAUUUCUUCUUUGUGGUCCUUUGGUCCACUGUAUGGGUUGUUGUUAUUCAUGCUUUGGACUUAUUGGCGAGUCCUUAUUGCAUCAGAGCUCAUUGUGCUUGUACCUUUGAACUUGUUUGUCUUAUGUGCGCUAAUGGUGUAUGUCGUAUCUGUCGAACUCUGUGGUCCUAACCGGAGUUUCGUCGUUAGUAGCUUCGAUCAGGAAGAAUUAGUGUCAUUAUUCACCUUCACUAGGAACCUUCCCAAAUCAAAGGUAAGGUUCAUGUCCCUCCCUUCAAGUUUAUCCUAGUUCGAGGAAAAUGUCUUCGGGCUCCACGACCAACGCUCAUGGAGUGGCUAGUUACUAAGAGGGGGUGCGCCAGCUAUGCUAGAAGCGUGUUCACCAAAUAUGGAAUCUGCCUUAGAAGAGGUGAUUGCAUCAUCCUGCAGAGGGUUAUAACAACCUUCUGUUCACAAUGUUUCUCAUAGUUAGAAAAGUAAUUAUUUAAAUUGUAUAAAACUUUUCGGAACACUUAUAUCGUCGAGAAAGUUGCAACAAAAGUGUAUUAUAUUUCUAUUUACUCAUUCUUAGGACUACUGCGAAACUGGGGGUUGACACUUUGGAAGCCUGUAUUAGUCAGAUUUGAUUUAUAGGGGCAUGUGUCUUUGGUUCCGUGGACGCAAUCCUCCUCUUUAGAUGCCCGAUGGAUGCACUUGUCUCUCAAGGGUCUGGUCUAUGUACCUUUUUUUGAGGGGAAAUGUAUGGCGACCAAUGUCUUUGUAUAUAUCUUUCCUAUCCGCGUCCGUGAAGGUCAAGCCAUCAUCUGGGUGACUGCUCUCGGUUGUCUCUUAUGAAUGUUCGACUUAGGGUUUUACCCCUUGUGUUUCCUUACUUUGGGGUUGAUGUCGGCCUCCAACAAUCCUCCAAAAUUCAAUUAAUGGUGUAUUCAAAAGGGAUGUCGAGGACUACCCUCAUGGAUACGGCCAGACUAGCCUCGAUCUGGCUUACUCUAAAAUCAUUGUUGGAUAAGGGAUUAAAUUUCUUGAAGUUUUCUACAAUAUAUUCUUUUCUAGUCAAUAUGGAUGGAGUUUAGUUCUUUUCUUCUUCUAUAAUAUAUCAAAUCGAAUUGGCAAAGUUGGGCGUCUGGCUUGCUAGGACAAGCUUAAUGAGGACAUCUUGGAUGGUUUCCCUGCACAGGAUUACCAAAAACUUGUGGGUGUAUUCCUCCAUCAUGCUCUUUACUAUUGAGGGUGUCAUAUAUGUUAUUCUAUAAAGCAAUCUAUCUAAUUAUCGAAGGACAAUUGAUAUCCUCCAUCUUAUGUACUUCAGAUCUUAUGAAUAGAGAUUUGAUUGCUCGACUGCGUCAGGUCAUAAGCUGUUACGGUAGAUCCACCAUCUAUAAGUUAUCACAUUCAGUGUUCUUCCACUGAUGGAGACUGUGAAAACUACUAGCAACUCAGUACUCGAGGUACUACUUGCCCUCUCGCUCCUAGAACAUCUUCGUGCAACUUAAUCCUCGUCUUGUGAUUUAGGAUCACUUGUCGUUUGGAGGAGGCGCUCUGAUGAUGGAUCACUGCCGAAUUUCAUGGCGUUGUGGAUCUCAACAAAGUCGACCAAAUAUGAAGGAAUAAAAUCGGAAUUUCUAAUAUAUCUCCUUAUCGUGCUAUGUUAGUUGAUUGUCUCCUUCUCUCGGUUCUGGAGGAGCUUGUAUUUAGAUUAAAGAUAAUCUAUUUGUAGAAUUUCUCAAGAAUUAGGAGUCGAUUUCCAUAGACGAUACCAUUGUUUCGUUAUGGAACCAUAAUUGGCAAGUAUUGAUGGUGAGGGAUCCCGAACCGGUGGUGUUGAUCUUCGAUACGGUGGCACGAGUGGACCUGUAAGGUUAGCACUUCAAUGCCCAAGUCAGUUCAGGAUUCAAGAUAAGUGUAGUUAAAUAUGGAGAUCAUAAAAAUGUACCUUGACUCUCACGUGGCCCAGAACACAUAAUUUUUUAAUCAAAAUAAUUGUAGAAUUUUUUUUAUAAAAGUUUAGUAGUUUAAUUUAUCAAUAUAAUAUCAUUGAUUAAAAUAAUAACUUAAACUGACUAUGUUGAUAGACAAAGUUCCAAUACUCACACACAAAUGUGAUGUCCUAGAUUCGAAUCUAGGUGAUGAAGUCCAAUCUAACCAUAUCAAUAUUUUCUUGUUGAUCUAGGAAUUGUAAACAUAAUAAUAUGAAUGUUAGAAUAAAUAGUAGCGUGAAUAUUUUUUAUUUGGUCUAUGUACGCGUAUAUUGGCAAAUGGUCCAUAUGAGGGAACCCAAUAUUCACCAAGGGCAUGCGAAUAACACUCAAUGCCCAAAGUAGGGAUCCUAGUCGCCAAUUUAUUAUAAUAUGUUCCCAUUUAUCUCAAUGUGCGCCCAUUUUCUGAUACACUCGUUCACUUAUGAAAAUGUGGUAAAUAAUGUGUCAUUACCCCGUAACGAUAUAUGAGAGACAUGCAAAGAAGGAAGUUACAUUCUGUAGGAUAAUAGGAGAAAUAACUGCUCCAUUUCGAACGCUCAUGAGAGAAGAAUAUGGUAACCACUCUCUUAGAUCCUAAGAUCCAUUCCCAAGGGAUUACUAUAAAUACCUCAUCCAUAAGAUUGAGUGGGGACAUUCAAUUCACUCAUAAAUCACCUAAAUACAAAACUUCUAACCAUCCUUUCUAAAGCUUGCUCUAACACCACUAUAACCCUAAAUCUCUUAGACAACCCUACACAACUAAGGAUUGUCACUCAUUGUACUUUUAUCAAGUACAAUUGACGCUUAUAGUGGAGCCUCGAUAAAACUAACCUAGGUCGCAGUCAUUAUCAUUCAUAACUCUUUUUUCCACCUUCCUCGAGAGGAUAGCAAAACGAAAUUCAAAGAUUGCCAUCAACACUAUUGUAGGAGGUUUCUCUAGUAGGGGUGAAUCUAAUUCUUGUCAAAAAUAUGUCAGGAAAGUUUAGAUGUCAAUUAUCAUGCCCUUCAACCCUAAAGUAGGGUCUAAAAUCAUAUUUUUAAGUAAAGACGACAUCUACAUUCUCCCUCACAAUAAUGAUCUCGUGGUCAUUGCGAUAUAAUAUGAUAGUUGGGAUGUGAGGAGAAUGUUUAUUUACCUUGGAAGCUAAACAAAUGUCAUGUUCUAAAGCACCUUUAAGGGGAUUAGGCUUGACCUAUAUGACAUGAUUAUGAAGACAUCAGAGGGAAAAAGCCACGUUGCAGAUCUAGAAGAUAUCAUGGUAUCAAUAAGAAGAUAAAACACAUGUUUAAAUCCCGUUAAAUGCUCUUUUGGAAUACAAUGGGUAAGUUCUUGGGAUUUAUACAAACCAAGAGAGGUAUGCAUGCAAAUCCAUAUAAGUUUCAGGACAUAAUCCGCAUUAGAAGCCCAUCCAAUAUUAAAUAAGUUUAGCAACUAACAAAUUGCUUUUCCACUUUGAAGAAGAAGGGUAUUUUAAGUGAAUAAGUGAGUGCGAGGAAGCAUUCUCUAACUUUAAGGUCUUCCUGGCAUCUUCACCCAUAAUAACUUUCUUGGUGGUAAGCUCACCCCUCUAUUUGUAUCUCUCUGUUACUGACUAGGUGGUGAGCUCCAUGCUCAUACAAGAGAAAGACAAAGUUGAGAAACUUGUCUAUUUUGUGAGAAAUAUGUUAAAGGGAGCUGAAUCUAAUAACCAAAAUAUUGAGAGGUUUUCCUUUUCUGGUAGUGAUAAAUAUAAGGAAACUCAAAUCCAACUUCCAAGGACACUGAGUAUUGGUGUAAACCAACUAGCCCAUUUGAUAAGUCUUGAAAAAAUUAGAUCUCGCAAGAAGGAUGGUAUCUUGGGAAGUUGAGUUAUCUGAGUAUGAUAUCCAAUAUGUACUAGCUAAUUUUCUAGUAGAGUUUAGUUCACCAGUAGGAGAGGAGGCAAUCUACACAUGUAUAUUAUCUAUAAGAGGCAUUUUAAAUCUAAAGAGGAGUGGCACCAUAAUAGUAUUGGAAGGACCAUAUGACCUAUUGAUUGAUAUGUCUUUGAAAUUUAAAUUCAAGGAUAGCAAUAAUUAGGCAUAAUAUGAAUCCCUCAUCUCGGUCAUAGUCUUUGUCCUUGAGAUGGGUGCUUCAAGUCUUAAAGCUAGAAGCGACUCACAAUUAAUGGAAGAUCAGGUCGUGUGGGAAUAUCAAAUAAAAGAGCCACAACUUAUCAAAUAUCUAAAAUAUAUGCAAAAUUUAUCUGAAUGCUUUAAAGAUUUUAAGAUAACAUGUUCCUAGGGAAUAAAACUCCAAGGUUGACCUCUUGUCCAAGCUUUCCAUUGAAAAAAGAGAAUGACACAACCACAAUGUAAUUCAAGAUACUCUCGUUGCCUUCAGCUUCGAGGUCGGGGAAGCCAACACCCUUGAAGUAGCCCAGACCACCAGCUGGAUGGAACCCAUAAUAGGUUAUGUAUAGUCAGAUGAACUACCACUAGAUGAGGUCAAAGCAAAAAACAUUUAAAAGCUUGCAACAAAGUACAACAUUAUAUCAGGGAAGCUUUAUAAAAUGGGAAGCCCCCCUUAUUAAGAUAUACAAGAGAACACGAAAUCGUCUUGGUUCUCAAAGAGGUCCACUAGGGGACUUGUGGCAGUCACAUUGGUAGGUGAGCACUAGCCCAUAAAUUUCUAAGGGUGGGCUGUUAUUUUCCCAAUUUAAUGAAGGAUAGUGCAACAUUCUUUAGAAAAUGUGACACAUUCUAAAAGCACGCCAAUCUACAUCACGUGUUAGCUGGGAUCCUUCAUUCUAUCACGCCGCCUUGACCAUUCUACCACUGUGACAUGGAUAUCUUAAGACUUUUUCCAUUGGCUCCUGAAAAAAUGAAUUCCCUUAUCAUUGGAGUAUAUUAUUUUACAAAAUGGAUAGAAGUUGAAUCGUCUCCAAGAUCAUAACAGAAAGAGUUCGCUGCUUCUAUUGGAAGCAGAUCGUGUGCAAGUUUGGUAUCCCGGGGGUUAUCAUUUCAAAGAAUGGUAUUAAAUUCUCCAACUCCACUAUGGUUGAUUUUUGCCACGAACUUGGAUUACAGAUAAAGUUUAUUUUCUUUUUCAACCCAUAGGAAUACAUGCAAGAUGAGUCGGAGAAUAAAGUGAUAUUAGGCAGGAUAAAUAAAAAGUUUGAUGGAGCCAAAGGGCUAUGGGAUGAACAACUCCAUGAAGUAUUGUGGCCGUAUCACACCACCCUCUCAUUCAACCACCAAAGAGACUCCAUUUACAAUGGUAUACAGUGUUGUCAACAUGUUGCCUAUUUAAAUUGACACACCCACUUGGAGGAAUUUCUCAAUUCAGUGAAAAAGAUACAAGGCAGAACUUAGAUUUGUAGCUGACUUAAUUAACAAGAUCUGAGAUGUCUCCCACAUCAAGGAAUUCUCCUCAAAAUAGAGGGCAACCUGAAGGUACAACUCAAAAGUGUUUAUAAGGGAAAUACAUGAAGGCGGUCUCGUACUCAAAUAUGUUUUUGUGCAAGCCUAAGUAGGAAAACUAUAGCCUAAGUGGGAUGGUCCAUACUGUAUAUGUCAGAAACUAUGUCAUGGAGCCUAUAAGAUUGAGGAGCUGAAUGGAUGGCUCGUCCCAAAAUCAUGGAACUUAGUUAACCUAAGAUACUAUUACAGUUAGUCAUUUUUCUAUUGUCUAUUUUGUAUAAGGCGAAAGGUGCUUAGCCCCAUAAUGUAUGAAUUCUCUUAAAACAUAUUUAUUACGGUAUUCACAUAAGUUAUACCCAUUUAUAAGUUCAUAUAAAUGUUUGACUUUUAUUGGAAGAUCCUUUCCGCCCUCUGAGGCAAUGUAAAUGUUGGACUUCCAUUGUAACAUCAUUGUCGCCCUAAGAGGAAAUAUAAAUGUUGGACUUUCAGUGGAAGAUCCUUGUCAUCCUUAGAGUCAAAAUAAAUGUUUGAAUUCCACUGGAAGAUCCUUGUCCCCCUUAGAGGAAAUAUAAAUGUUGGGCUUCCACUAGAAGAUCCUUGUUUCCCUUAUAGGAAAUAUAAAUGUUGAACUUCCACUAGAAGAUCCUUAUUACCCUCAUAGGAAAUUUAAAUGUUAGACUUCCACUAGAAGAUCUUUGCCCACCCUCAGAGGCCAUAUAAAUGUUGGACUUCCACUAGAAGAUCCUGUUUGCCCAAUAAGCAAUACAAAUAUGAGGCCACUUCACUGGCUUCAUUUUUACUCACAAUUAACCCUUUUAUCGUAAAAUGUACCAUACGUUGGAUCCAUUAAUAAGUAACGAAACAAGUAACACAACUUAAAAGUCUCUCUCGAGGGACUCAACUUAAAAAUGUUUCCCAAGGGACUCAACUUCAAAUUCUUACUCUAGGGACUCAACUUCAAAGUCUCGUAUGAGGGUAUCAACCUAAAAGUCUAGCCUGGGGGACUCAACUUAAAAGUAUAGUAUGAGGGACUCAACUUAAAAGUAUCUCCUGAGAGAAUCAAGUUAAAAGUCUUUCUCAAGGGACUCAACUUAAAAUUCUAUCAUGAGGGACUUAACUUAGAAAACUCUCUUGAGAGACUCAACUUAAAAGUCUUUCCCAUGGGACUUAACUUAAGAGUAUCGUUUGAAGAACUCAACUUAGAGUUUUAUAGAGGAACUAGAUACUAAAUCACUUUGCCUUAUACAAGACCUCGUGCUUUAGGUGCUAUGUAUUGAUAUGUUUGCAAAGGAUUCAUAUGAGAUAACACAAGACUCACCAAGGGCAUGAAGAUAAUACCCAUCGCCAAAAGCAGGGUUGCUGGUUGCACGUUUAUCGCAAUAUGCACCGAUUUAUCACAAUGUACGCCUAUUGUCUGGUACACACACACACUUAUGAAAACAUGCAGAAUGAUGUGUACUUACUUCACGAUAGUGUGGAAAGGUCAAUAAAACAAGGAAGUCAGGUUCUCCAGGAUAAUAAGGGGGGCGAGUUGCAAUGCAAAAAGUAAAUAAGAGUUUAAACAAGAUUACGAAAUCGGUCAGGUUGUGUUUAGAAUCCCUUAUUUCUCUAUUGUUGAUGUUUGAUGCCUUCUAUGAAUGAUCUUAUCACUAUAACCCCACGACAAAUUAACAAAACAGUUAUAACUGAUCUCUCACUAAAUAACUCAUUAAUCACUACUCGAAGCCUCCUAUUUCUAGUACACUAGCGUAAGCAGGAUUAGGCGAUACACAUAAUGAUAAUUACCAUGCCACUACUCGGGGUCUCCUAUUCCUAUCAACCAGCGUAAGUACAACAAUUGCCUUAGAUCCAAUACAUAGGCUAAGAGUCAGCAUUCUCUAUGUGCCCAAAAUCAAUUUAAAAGAGUAUCUCACAUAAAAAGCAUUAAGAAUAAUAAGUAAUUGAAUGGAAUUAUAGAUCAAAAGGUUCAUACAAAGUCAAAUCAACAUAUUACCCAACAAUAUUGAAAUAGGUUAAUCAUAACACAAUCUAAUCCAGAGGAGCUUAGCUACUCAUAAUUCAGAUUACAAUACCAUAAUUGAUAGAUGAAAAUAACAUAUGAAUUCCCUUGAAGUAAUGGCAUCCAAUGGCUUCAAAUGCCCUAAGAAUCUACUUUGAUGCUCCCCAAAUCGUGUUUUGCUCUCCAUAAUUUGCAACCCCUAACAAAGUGCAAAAAUCCCCCUUAAAAAGAGCUAAGAAUUGAUCAAAUGCGUCAGAAAAAGCCCAGAAAAAUGGAUCAUCACUUGGUGCAACUUUUUUGGCUCUAUCGUGCGUGACGGUGCAUGUGAUUUUUCCCGAAGCUUCACUCUUUUGCUCCUUUUUUCACCCAAUCUUCAUACUUAGCUAUUUUUCCUCAUUCUUUGGUCUUUCUUCUUCAUUUUAGCUCAUCUUUCACUUGUUUUGAUCCGAUUCUUCGACUAAAUUCAUGCAAUGAUGGACCGCCAUCACAUAUAUAUAGUUAAUUAAACAAAUUAAUAUAUAUAUUAAAUUAAAAUAUUAUUAAAUAAUAUAAAAAUAAAUAAUUUAAAUAUAUAAAAUUUAAUAUAAUAAUAUUUAUUAUUAAAUAAUAUAUAUAUAUAUAUAAUAUAUAUAUAUCAUAUUCAUUUAAAUGAUGUUACUAUAAUUAGAUUUAUUGAUAUGUAGUGAGUUUUUUUAGAAAAUUAUUGAUGAUUUAUAGUGAUUAAUUUUGUCGGUAGCAUAUAAUUUUAAUGCAGAAGAUUGAACAAUAUUAUUUAUACGCUUAUAAUAUGAAGAAAAGUUUCUACACCUAUUCUAGGAGACUACAUAUUCAACUUUUUUCUUUUAUGUUAUCUUCUUUUUAAUUGGCGAUAAUACCCAUAGAUUUAUGACUCUUCACUACAUGCCUAUCCCAUGGCAAUUACUUUUCUAGACCCUUUAUGCGCUCUCAAUUUGAAUUGGCGAGUUCCUUUAUACCUUUAAAAUGAAAAUUUUUUAAUUUUCACGUGACUUGUGCAUUAGAGGAAGGUCUUGUGCAAACUCAAAUAUAGGCUGAAUUAUCUUAGGUAUUCAUGUGCUUCAACUCUUAGACAUUUGAGAGUACUUAAAAUACUUACAAGAAAGUGAUUACGUUCACGAUUCUAGCCUCGAUCCAUUCAAUUUAAAUUAAUUUUCUAACAAUCUUAUAAGUAGUUCAUAUAAUGGAAAUCGAGGUUUAUGUUUCAAGAAUCAAAAUGAUGAAUCAAGACAAGACUUGUUUCCUCUUAACUGUCAUGAAGAUCUUUUAUUUGUCAUUAAUAUUAAAGGUUGCUACUUUAAAACUUUUUAUGUCAAUUCUUAUUGAUUGUGAAAGGUACACAAUUAAUUCAUAUAAUAUUUAAAUUUUUUGAUUUUUUGUGAUUAACUUGUGGAUGUAAUUUUUAUGGAGAAAUAAAUAUUCAUGUUUGUUUAUUCUCAUCAUAGUUAAAGAUGCAUAUUUAAUACUUAAAAUAUCAUAAGAUGAAUAAUGUAUUUAUUUAUGGAUAAAAUAUUUUUUAAAAACAUUAUUUCUGAAUGUGAAGUUAUGAUACAUGUAUUGGAAACAUAAAAUGGUAAUAAUAAUAAUAAUAAUAAUAAUAAUAAUAAUAAUAAUAAUAAUAAUAAUAAUAAUAAUAAUAAUAAUCUAAAGGACAUAUUUCAAUUGUAUUGUUCUUUGUGUAAUAACUUAUUAAAUUUAAAAUAAUUAUCUCAUAUUAUAUGUGAAUGCUAAUAUGAAAAAGUUAUUUCUUGAACAUCUUAAUAUUAAAAGUAAUUAGUACAUUUCCUUUAUUAUUAAAAGUUGACAAAUGUUUAUGAAAAAAAAGUUAUAGAAAAUAUUAAUGAUUUUGAUUCAUUGUUUAUUUUAUAAUGUGAUUCUUAUAUGAAUAUGACACAGAACAUUGUUAAACAUGAAGUUAAGAAAUAUAAUUUAUUAUGCAUAUGUUAAUUAUACAAUAAAAUAUUUAUUUUAAGAGAAUAUAAAUAAAUGAGUGUUAGUUAAUAUGAUGUAUAUAACUUUUAUGUUUUAAAUCUCCUUAUAAAAUAAACGUUAUGAUCAUGGUUGUCGAUUAUUAUAAAUAUUUAAUACAUUGAAUAUAUUUUAGAUAUAUUCAAGUAGAAGUGUAACUUUAAAGUAAAAUGAUUUUUAAUAAAUAUUUUAUUAAUAAUGGAAGAAUGACAUAAAAUUUGUUGUAUCAACAAGUUCUUAUGUCAUAUAAUGAAUAUAAUUCUUUUGAAGAAAACAAUGAUAUUUCUCCAUAUGAUGUAUUGAAAGGAAUAGCGCAAAAUAUCAAUUAUUUUAGAGCAUUGGAUUGUGUAACUUAUUAUAAGAACAUGGACCCUAAAAGGAACAAGUUGGAUCUUUAUAGAAUUAAAUAUAUAUUUUUAGGCUAUGCACAUAACAUUAAAGCGUAUAGACUUUUGAAUUUGGAGUCUAACGUAAUUAUUCAAUCCUAGAUAUGGAAUUUUGAUAACUUUAUCAUAGAUGAUAAAGAAUUCGAGAUUCCCACGAAUUAAGAACCUCGUGAGGAAAGUUCUCCACUGGUUGUUGAUUAUGCUAACACACAUGCAGUAGUAGCAAGUACAAAGAAAUUAGAGUUUCGUUUGCAUUAGCUUCCUUGCAUAACGUUAUAGUUCAUCAAAUGGAUAUCAAAAUAAUAUCCCUAAAUAGAUAUCUUGAUGAGGUGAUUUACAUGGAGCAACCAGAAGGUUAUGUACUUCUUGGUAAUGAACAAAAGUGUACAAACUUGUUAAAUUCUUGUAUGAAUUAAAACAAACACCUAAAUAAUGAUAUCAAAAGUUUGACUUUGUCAUUGUAAGAAUUCACAUAUUAAGGGGAGACAUACAAGAGUUUUUCAUCAUCAAAAAGGGGAGAUUAUGAAGAAUAUAUCUUAUAUUUAGUUCAGUUCUGAUGAAGACGGAGAUUAUCAAAGAAGAAAGGGAUCAAAACUAUCAUGCACAUAAAUGAUGAAGUUGAUUAAGAAGGUUGAACAUAUUAAUCCAAGUGAAGAUUUGAGACAAAAGUGAACAUGAUUAAGGUACUCAUGGCUAUUCAUACUAUAUUAGUUUAAAUUUCUCAUAAUUUAAUCUCUAACUUGAUCUAAAAACCUUCUUGCAUCAUCAUGCAUGAUUAUCUAAUUCUCGUGACAAGUGUUUGUACAUAAAGUUGUGUGAGAAUAUUCUAAUAUUCUGAAUAAAAUUUUAGAAAUCAAGAGGUUUCUAACUUCCACAUUCAAGAUGAAUGAUCUUGAUCUAGUAGACACUUUUUUUGUUCAAACUCUUAAUGAAGUUCUAUAUCUUAGAUAUGAAUCUCAAGAAAUAGAUACAAAAUGAACUUCGCCUAUAUGAAUUUUGAGAUGGUGUUGUCUCAAAGUGAGAGAUGGAUUUUCUCUCAUGAAAAACUCACGAAAAUAGGAAAAACACAUGACCAUAAAUACGUGUAAGGUAAUGCCAGUAUAAUUACAAGAUAUAAUUGUACAAAGCAUAGUUACCUCACAUUCUGAUUAAACUUUUUGUUAUCCUCUUACUAAGAAUAAAUUUAAAUCGAAAGAUACUUAACUAUAUUAACAUUAUUUUCCUCUAUUUUUCUGGAAUUUUUUUUCCAUUAUUAGAACAUGUGAGAGAUUGUUGUAAAUUAUUAAUAAUUAAUAAUCUUGAGUGUGUUCCAAAAUGACAAGAAAAUAUGCAAGUGAAGAUUAAUUUUUUUAAUUUAGAAAUAGACAACACUUGUAAAUUAUUGUAGUAGACAAUUUGUAUUUUGAAUUCAGAAAUAGGCAACACUUUGUGAAGUGUUGUAAAAUAUGAAAUAAUACAGCCUUUGAAAAAUGUUGUUGUAGGCGAAACAGUGCAAUAUUUGGCAAAAUUAUUGUUGUAGGCGAAACAAUGCAACAUUUAGUAAACAUACUGUUGUAGGCGAAACAAUGUAACACUUGCUAAAAGUGUUGCUGAAAGUGUGUGUUUCAUCAAGGGUCGCAACCUUGUGAAACAACAAUACUUUGGCCUAUAAAUUGAGCAUUAUGGAUUUAGAAAAUACAACACAAAAACCUAUUGUCUUCAAACAAAAUUCCAGAGUUCAUAUUCCCAACAUUUGAGUUUUUAUCGGUCUUAUGCAAACUCAAGUAUAAGCUAAAUUAUCAUGUGUAUUCAUGCGUUCUAAAUCUAAGAUAUUUGAGAGUGAUUGAAAUAUUUAUAAGAAAGGUGAUUUUAUUCAUGAUUCUAGCCUCGAUCCAUUUGAUUUAAAUUAAUUUUGUAAUAGUCAAAGCAUUAAGACUUUAGUGAAUAAUGAAGUGCCAAUCAAAGUGAAGGUUAUGAAUGUCACAUCUAUGAAAAACACAAUUACACAACCAUAUACAAAAUAAAUGGAUGGAAAAGAAGAAAACGACCAUAUAGAUCUAUGGUAAUUGGGAUAAUUUUUACAACGAGCUUCCAUAAUAGUUGAAACCAAGGAAAAUAUUUCUUCCAAGAACCAUAACAUUUACAGGUGUUGGUACAUAGUUAAAUGGAUGUAAAAUCUUCCAUAGUUUAUUAUGCACUUUCCAACCAUGCAUCAAAGUUGAUAAAAUGCAGAUGUACCACUAGUAUAGAGGGGCAUCAUUGAUAGAUGUUAUAUAGGAUUAGAACAUCAUCAUAUUUUAAUCACUUUUGCAUCAUAUAGGUGAGAGAGGGGGUGCUUGAAAUUUCUUUCUAAUUUUUAAGGCACAUCACACCCUAUAUGAGUCAAUGAAAAUGAAUAUGAUAAUCUCUAAAAUGUUUGGGAAGAUCCUCCAUUCAUAUUCUUGUAAAAAAAAAUCAUGUGAGAGACUGAAUACAAAGAACUUGCUAAAAAAAGUUAUAAACACGGGCUAUGAUCUUUAACCUUAUUACUAUAAUUUCCAUAAUUUUUUCUAUAACACAUUUGACAUUUAAUUAUUUAUUUUGACAACAUAUGAUAUUUAUUAAAUAAUUCGACAUUCCUAUACUAUCACAAAAAAAAUGUUCGAUAAACCUAUAAGCUUUAAGGUGGGUCGAGAUAAUCCCCACAUAACAAUUGACUCAAGUAUAUGAUGAAGGUCGACAAUGGGGUCACAUGCCAACCAACCUUUCUCAAUCAAUAAACUCAAUACUUAAGGGUACUCGUAAUCUCCCUAUCAAAGCUUUGAUGAAAUCAACCUAUUAUAGGUUGGGAGAACUAUAUAGGGAAAAAACUACAUCAAUGCGGAUCAAUAUAAGGUUUUGGCCAGAACUACAAAAAAUGCAGGAAGGGGUUAAAAAAAGUAAUGCAUAAGUCCAACACUCACUAAGUAAUGUAUUUUGAACGAGAAAGAUUCACUUUCCUGGUCCAUAGAACUAUGAACCAAAAAGAAGCAUGACCAAUCAGACAUUUAAAAACCGACUUACAAGCAAGGUGGUGUGAUAGUGGAAAAUUUCAGGUUUUUCAUAUGUCUUGCUCAUAUAUCAGAGGAGCAUGUUUUAGUGUUCAUCAAAACUACUUAGUGCAUAUACAUGAUAUGCACAAAUUUGUUAAUAUGUUCAAAGAUCAAUAACGAAAGUUUCAUAGUUGUUUCCAAAAAGGAUCAUUGACAUCAUUUUAAAGACGACACAAUUUUCCAGAAUUUAAGCAUGCGGAUGCAAAAGAAACAUUGGUCAAAUGGUACUAGAAUUAGAAAAUUGAAAUGGACAUUAUUGAAAAACAUCAAAGAAAUUGUGAAAUAUGCCAACUUACGGAUCAUACCCAUACAAAAAAUAUUCAAAAUUCCAUGCAAUCUUAGUUAACUAUUUGAAAUUUUUUAGUCUUUUUUAUAUAAUAAUAAUAAUAAUAAUAAUAAUAAUAAUAAUAAGAAGAAGAAGAAGAAGAAGAAGAAGAAUAAAGCACAACGACAAAGAAAAUAUUGAGUUACAUCAACAUAAAUUAUGGUUAGAACACAUAGCAUAAAAUAUAUAAUUAGAUCUUAUUAUACUUGAUAAUUGCAAAUAUUGAUCUUACAUCAUUAUCAUUCUUAAGAUGCAACCAUUCAUAAUAUUUAGGACUAUUUUGUAGUGUCAUAUUUGGUAAAGUCUCAGGUUAUGGUACCCUUGCCUAACAAUUGGGUCGCUCGAUCAAAAUUUAAAGGAGCCUCCCAUGCGGUCCACCCAACAUGAAUGUUAAAAAAGAGAAAGUCUUUGCUAACUCCGGAAGUAUAAACAGUUAAUAAUCUCCCUAAUAAGGGGGAACAGUUAAUACCAUGUCCAAGGGGAAAAAACAUAGCCCUCGAGAAUCCAUAUAAAUACCUUACCCAUUAAGGGGAUAAAGGACAAAUCCUCAAGUCAGACACACUUACUACUACUCAGAUAGCUCCACGUUCCUAGUAGCCCCAACACCGUUAAAUUAACCAUUCGCUUGCAAUCCAACAACACCAACCACCAUCAGGGCCUCUCACCUUACGUGAGUUGAUCGCUCAAAUAACCUCAAAAAUCACUGUAAAGGGUUUCUCGUCACCGUGAGCUAUCCCUCACCAUCCCAACUUAUAAUAUACUUAUUAGGGCCUCUGAGUCUAAAUCCCCUUGAAGGGGAGCACACACACUUGUAAUUUUUGAAUAGUACAGUGGCGCCCACCAUGGAACCUAGUAAAACUAAUUUGGGUCACACCUCCUUUUAACAAACAUCACCUUCCUUGUCGGACCCUCAUCUCCAACACUUAGCUAUUAUUGAUCAUGAUGAACAUAAGUGUUUCAUCCCUUACUUAUUAGGGUACCAGUAGUACAGGCGAUGUCGAGGCCAUGACGGAGAUGUGAGCCGCCAUGGACCAAAUAUGACACCAUGAUCGGAUGUUAGAGGAUGAUAUCCAGAACAUCAAGCAGCACCAACAGGAGGUCAAACCCCCGGAAGAAGUGGAACUGUUGGACCCCUAGCCACUUUUGGAUUAAAUAUGGGCCCCUCUGUCCCUGAAGGUUUCAAACCUUCGUCCUUGGACAAGUUUGAAUGGCACAGUGAUCUCUAUGAGCAUGUCGCCUCCAUCAACAAGCAUAUAGCCAUCAUUAAGCAUCAAACUCCCUAAAAUGUAAGAUGUUGUUAGACAUCGUUAGGAAGGCCACCCUCAGAUGGUAUAUGGGCCUUCCAUGUGCCUCUAUUAAUAGUUAGAAGGAAUUGUGAGAAAGUUGGUACACCAAUUAGCCGCCAGUCGCCAUUGAAAGAUGUAUACUACGAGUGUAACACCCUAAUUUAAUUAAUAGCUUAUUUAAUUAUUUAUUUAAUUUAAUUGAGUAAUUUAUUUAAAUAGUUAUUUUUGUGAUAUAUGACAUGUUUGACCAGUGACGACAUUUGUGGUGUUUUGGGUUAGUUAAUUAGUUUAGUGUGAAUUAAUUAAUUAAUUAAUUAGAAAUUGAAGAGAAUAUGAAGAAUUAGGUUAGUUUUAUGAAUUGAGAGAAUUUAGUGGUGAGUAGAGGAAAACUGAAUUUCAGUUGGGAAAAAGUGUAAUUAAGAGAACUUUUCUAUCAGUACGUGAAAACAAGGGACUUUCAAAGAAGAACAUUAGAAAGGAGAACUAUGGCUUGAGAGAAUGGAUCCAUAGAAGUUUAUUUUGCUGAUUUUGCUGGAAUUACAAGUUAAGAUGGGGAGAUUCUUCCUCUAAGGAUACUUAGUUCAUGAAAGGGUAGAGAGGUUUCCCUCAACCUCUAAUAGGAAUUUCUCCCUUUUUGUUGAUUGUGUUAUUUGACGAAUCAUAUGAUUGCAAUUCUAUUUUAUGCCAUGAUGUAAUUGCAAAUUUGUGUAUUGUAAUUGUAAUGAUUGUUUCAUAUGUUACUUGUUCAUCAACAUGGGUUUUGAUAUGAAAUUGGAAGUUUAUAAAAGCAUGAAUAAAUUUUGAGUUUUAUGAUUAAAUCAAUGGAAUACCAUGUUAGAUGAAUAGGAAAUAACAUGAUAAUUUGUGAUAAUCAUGUGGAUAAUAAUUAUGAGCUAUUUGGAAGUGUUUGUGGUUGAUUUGAGAUGGUUUUGGAGGUUCUACCAUAGCAGAACGUGAUUCUGCUUAUGUUAAUAGGGUGACGAAUGUCACUUGUAUGACACCGUAGGCGUCAUGUGCUAUGAAACGCUGACGGGAAUCAGGUAUAUGACGGGGUGACCGUCAUUAUCUUCGGGAAAGCGUAAUCUUGUCGAUCGUCACAGUUUCACAUGUUGAGGAAUGGGGAGGACGACUGGCGUCCCCUGGUGACAUGCCACUCGUCAUCGUGCUAGUGAACAUAUCCUGGACUACUGAGUUGGGUUUGGGGAAUGGUUUUGUCGUGCAGUUGGUGAUUGAUUGUUGUUUGGUGUAUUUUUAUGAAUAUGAGUGGAUUAAUUAAAUUAUAUAAGUAAUUGAUGAUACUAUUCAUAAAUUAGUGUUAUGUGUAAUAUUGAAUAUGUGUGAUGAAAAUGCAAGUACAGUGUGGUAUGGAUUAUUGUGCAUAUGUGUUGAUGAGUUGUUGAAUUACUAUUGAUGUAAUGAAUAUAUAUAUAGUAUAUAUAUAUAUAUAUAUAUAUAUAUAUAUAUAUUUGUUUAUAGUCAUAGUGGGGAUGUAUUGCAUCUUUUAUUGUUGAGUGAUUAUGUAUAGUCAGAGUGGGGUUGUAUUAUAUUUUUUAUAUGUCAUACAUCAUAUGUGUCGUUGUUGUGAAAGAGGCAUGUUCGCUAGUUCAGAGUGGAGACUAGUGAAUUGUCCCAAGCCUUGAAUGGGGGCUUAGAGCUCAUAGUGGGGGCUCGGGGUUCGUAGAGAUUGGGACCUGGUUCGUGUGAAGCACCAAAUGUUGAGCCGAUACCUCAUGCAUAUGAAGUUGAGUUCUGAGUCCGGCUAAGAGUGGGGAUCGUGGCAAGAACGAGUCAAGUCAUUGUUGCAUUAUAUAUGUAAUGAUGAAUACUAUUGCAUGGGUGUGGGUGGAUGAUUGUGAUGUGGGUCAAUUUAAAUACAUGACAUUGGUGUGCUUUCUGAUAUUUGGAUGAUUUCGUAGUUAUGUGAAUCUAUCCUGAAUGUUUAUACACCAUUUAUUAUUUGAAUGAAUUCGUACCCCUUUUUGUGUUGAUGCGUAUGUGAUUCUCUAGAGUAUAGAUAAUCAGGUACCUGAGUAAGAGCUUGAGGUUGAGGAUGGUGUUGCGCCUCUUUAGUUGCUUGUCGUUUGAGUCUAUAGUUGGAGUCUCUCUGAUAUAUAACACAAGGGCACAAGCUGUUAUAUCAUUUAUUUUAUGUUGCAUGUCUUUUUUUUAUUUGUGAUGUUUUGAACCACGUUUUAAAACUAAUAAUUUUGGUGAGGCUUUUAAGGCCAAAUGUUUUAACAAUUUUCCACUACUUAUCAAAUGAGUUGUUUCAUUAUUACGUGGUUCAAAAUAUUUUGAUGUUUCUGAGUAGCAUUCUUCUUGGUGAAUAUUUGUGACUUAUACAUGUUUUAUUUAAUUAUUUGUCAAGUCGGGAAGUAGGGUGUUACAAUGAUCUUGUUCAACAUUCGUCAAUGUCCGUCAAAAUCACUGAGCGACUAUCUCGCCUGCUUCAAUGAGGCCGCCAUCAAGUUUUUCUUCUUACUAAAAAAUGUUCGUGGGAGCAUUCCAAAAUGGACUCAAGGUGGGAACCCCUUCCGAGAACAUAUAUGGCACGAGGUAUUCCACCUGCACAACAUCCUGAGACCUCUUACCCCCAGGUCUGAAGUGAUGGGAUUUGAACCCGGAUGAUGGUGCACGUUCCAUAGAGUAAAAUAACAUCAUACCGACGAUUGUUACCAAUUGAAAAAGGAGAUAGAAACUUUGAUACAUGAAGGCCACCUUAAGAAAUAUGUGAAGGGUGACUCCUCCAAGCAGGAAGAAUGACGAUACCAACAUGGGCGAGAAAAUUCUAGAAGUACAUAGAGCCAAAGAAGCGCCCAAGGAGGAGGGCGGUACGACAGCGUGCCACACACUUAAUAUGAUAUCAGGAGGAUUCGCUAGGGUAAGCGAGACUAACACCACCCGAGAAAGGUACGUCUGCCAGGUCCUAAACAUAGAAGAACUCCCCAAGUUCAAAGAUACAAAGGCGCUAGAGGCCGCAAUUUUCUUCUCAGAGGAAGAUGUGUUUGACAUCCACCCCUCAACGAUGAUCUCAUGGUCAUUAUCGUAAAAUGUAAAGAAUGGGAGAUCAAGAGAAUCUUAUGAGACCAGGGAAGCUCUGCCGACAUAUUAUAUUGGACACCUUUGAGAGAUUUUACCUUCUUCCCGGAGACUUGAAGCCCUUUAAGGGAUAGUUGGUUGGGUUCUAAGGAGAGCAGGUAUAAGUGAAAGGAUACCUCACCCUGAGUAUCACAUUUGGAGAGAAAGAAAAUGCCAAGAAAAUAAAGGUUAAGUAUGUUGUCAUUGACGCCUUUCCUCAUAUAAUAUGGUUAGUAACCCUAUUUACCUUGUAUCUAUGCAUGAAGUACCCACUCUCCAAUGGGCGAGUGAGAGUUGUCCGAGGAGACCAGAAGAUCGCCACGAAGUGCUACACAUAGACCCUCGAGUUAAAUAGGGCGUAUGUUUAGGGCGUACAGGUAAAAAGGUCCAAUUACAAAAUCACACAACCUAGAGAAGCGGGAGAGAGCAAGAACUCUUCCCAUCUGGCCGCGCAAGACAAAGGAGCCUGAGAGCGAGGGAAGACACCUUUUUCCUCCUCGGGAGCCAUCUUUUUUGUUUUUGUUAUUCAUUCAUGUAAUUUUUUCAUUUGUUUCUACUUGUUUACCCAGUUAAACAUCUUCUAGGCAAAUGUUGGAACUCUGUCAGUUGUAAGAACAAGCUAUUAUUUGGGAUGAACUUUUUUCCCUCUGCACCUCCAAAGGAGCGGGGGUUUUUAAUGAGGCAUAUCAUCUUAUUUUAUAUAUGCUUAUUUGUUUUAUAAGAUCUAUGCAGGAAAUCCAAAUCCACAAGGACAAACAAUUAUUAUGUUGGAUCCCUCAGGAUGGGAUCAUAAUCGCCCAUAAAGGCAAUUAUGUGUUGGACUUCUACGGGAAGAUCCUUGCCGCCCUUUGAGGCAACUAUGAUGUUGGAUCCCCCAAGAUGGGAUCUUUGUCUCUCCUCGUGGAAAUUAUUAUGUUGGGUCCCCUAUGAUGGGAUCCUUGCCUCCCAUAGAGGAAAUUAUGUGUUAGAAUUCCAUAGGAAGAUCCUUGCUAUCCUUAGAGGCAAUUAUGAUGCAGGAUCCCCCAAUAUGGGAUCCUUGUCGUCCCUCGUGAAAAUUAUUAUAUUUGAUACCCUAAGAUGAAAUCUUUGCCGCCCAUAGAGGCAACUAUUAUGUUUGAUCCCCCAAGAUGGGAUUCUUGCUGCCCAUAGAGGCAAUUAUCAUGCUAGAUCCCCCAAGAUGGGAUCCUUUCAUGGAGGAAAUCAUGCACGCCAAAAUAUUUACCACUCCGGGGGGCAACCUGAAAUGAACCCUCUAGGAAAAUUAUCAUCAUCUCGAAGAAACUACAACAAUAAAUAUGUGAUAGUAGAGUGCAAAAACGAUAAAAAUGAUUAUAAAUACGCCCUAAGGGGACACCGCUACCCAUAAUAGAUACAAAAAAACCCAAAGGGGUAAAGAAGAGUACAAUUAAAAAGGAAAAAUCAUUCUUCAUCCACCAACUCUCCAUAUAGAACCACUCAAAAGGGUCCAAAGGGCCUAGGUCUAGAUGGGGAUAAAGGAGGGAUAUUUGCCUUCUCACCUCCUCGAAGUGAUGAACAGAGGCCACCACAACAUCAUUGGUAAGCUAAGACACCCUUUCCUUCAUACCCUAUAGAGAGCUUUGAUCUUCCACUAGCGACUUCUUUAAAUCAUCCACCUCUGCCUGUUCAACACGCUCCUGGGCGACCACUCCAUCGGCGAUCACCUUUAAAUCCUCCAUCUUUUCAUUCAUCUAAUUCAAAGCCACCUUGCCUUCUUGGGUGUGCUUGUUUAGAUUCAACAUCCUGAACUGCAUUCUCCCCAGUUAUUCAAAACGUAUCACCCUCAGUGUUUUUUCCACUAAAAAUUUCCUCAUCAGUUGGGCAUCCAUCAAAGUCAACAGUUGGGUUGGAGACAUGUUAAAAAGUAUAUGGUAAUCACUGGGGAAGUUCCUGGGGACAAAAAAGAAAUGAUCGCGAAAGCUACAACAUCAAAAAAGGGGUUGUUCUAUAAAAAAAAGCCGGGAAGCGUUUCAGCAUCCACCAACCUUCCCGCCUUAGCACCUGCUCUUUGGUCUCCACCAGGUGUAGAAGGGCCCUCUUCUCGUCUAGAAGCUUUUAGAGGAUGGAUUUCUGUCGCCCGAGAGGUUUCGCCUUGCAACGGCCCCAGAGCAUCAUAGGGGCUCUCAUUUUUCAUCAAGAGGCACCACCAUUAUCUCCCAUGCGUAUGAUAAAUUAUUAGAGCCCGCCUACACAAGUAAAAUGACGGUAAAACAUAUUUACCCUUACAUAAGUACUCUUCCACUCCAUUGUCAUCUUCACAGUCCCGCGUGAUGAGUGUGUUGCACUCCAGGGAUAGGAAGCGCUCCAAAUAAUGGAUUACCUCACAGUCCAAGAGAGGGAGUACACAUGAAUCCACCCUCACUGUGGACUUAGAGUUAGGAGUCCAAGAAGAUGGGAGCAUGGGCUCACCUCCCUCCCCCACUAUAACGGAAGACACAUUGUUUAUUCUUCUUAUCCGAGAAAAUUUAUGCUUCCAAUCUUCACCCCUGGAAAAGGGUAUAAAGUCACCCAACCACUGCUGGGAUUUGACUCCAUCCGGAAAAAGUACAAAAGCACCUUAACGAAAGGCGGCGCCCCUAGAUGAUGACACAUUAUAUGGAAAGCCCUAAGUAUUCCCCAGACAUUUGGAGUAAUUUGGGAAGGGGCUACAUUGAUAACGAUUAAAAACUCCAUUUUGAAAGAGGUUAAAGGAACCGGGACCCCCAAAUCAUAAAUAAUAGGAAAGUGUAGGUAGAAGUAAAGAGCAGAUAGAUCAUCAGAAGUGUCCAUAUCUGCUCUUUCAUCCCUUUAACAAUGUUCCAAAAGCACGUCCCUCACUCGUAUCGUUCUGGAAAAACUAAUUCCAUGGCAAAAUUUAUUGAUCAUAUACGUGGUAGAAUACAAGGAGGAGAUGUCUCACAUGUGUCCCCUUUAAGAGAAAGUCCUUGCUGACUUCGAAAGUAUCAACAAACAAUAACCUCCCUAAUACGAGGAACGAUUAAGACCACGUCCAGGGGGGCCAAAAACCCUAGCCCUGAAAAUCCCUAUAAAUACCUUACCCCUUAAGGAGAUAAAUGAAAAAUCUUAAACUCAUACACACUUAUUACUACUCAAAGAGCUCCACGCUCCUAGUAACCCCAACACCGUUAAAUUUACUGCUCGUCUGCAAUCCAGCAACACUAACCACCAUCGGGGUCUCUGGUAUCAUGUGAGUUGACCCCUCAAAUAACCUUAAAAAUCACCGUAAAUGGUUGCUCGUCACCGUGAGAUAGCCCUCACUAUUCCAAUGUUAAAUAUUUUGUGGUUAUUAUUAUUACUAUUUGUUUAUAUUAUUAGGAAUAUGACUUGGUAUAUAGUAUCCACAUAAUAAACGCUUGUAACAUGGUGGCUUCUAUUUUUAAGUCGAAUUUAAUGUUAUAUAUAUAUCAAUUUAUUAUUCUUAAUAAUAACAAGACAUUCUCUCUUAUAUUCAAUAUAGUAGUUAUUAGUUUAUAACAAUUGGUAUCAGAGCUCCAUUAUUGGGGCCUGAUCCAUAGUGAGUGUAUGUGAGAGAAACCAUUGGAGUGAAAAAAAAUGUGUAUAAAGAAAGAAAUUGCAAUUUUAUUUAAAUUAGAAGGAGUUUAAGAUAAUGGCGGAAGGUGAUAGUAAUAGUUUCGUGCAGUCGGCUAUUCCCAAGUUUGAUGGUCAUUAUGACCAUUGGGCGAUGUUAAUGGAAAUUUUUCUCCGUUCAAAAGAAUAUUGGGAUCUCAUUGAGAAUGGGAUAUUGGUUAUUGAAACAGGAGUAGAGCCAACAGAGAAGCAACAUAAGUUUAUUGAAGAGAAAAAGUUGAAGGACUUGAAGGCAAAAAAUCACCUUUUGCAAGCAAUUUUUCGUGAUGUGCUUGAAACAAUCCCCAAUAACGAAGCGUCAAAAAGUAUAUGGGAUUCAAGGAUGCCAAAAUUUCAGGGUUCAAACUGAGUCAAAAGAGCAUAACUCCAAGUUUUAUGUAAAGGAUUUUGAGAUUCUUCAUAUGAAAUAAGGAGAAACUGUUAAUGCUUAUUUCUCUCGCACUUUAACCAUUGCUAACAAAAUGAAAGCUCAUGGUGAAAGUAUGAGUCAAACAAUCAUCACCGAGAAGAUUUUGAGAUCAAUUGUCUCAAAGUUUGAUUAUAUGGUAUGCUCAAUUGAACAAUCGAACAACUUAGAUACAAUUACUAUUGAUGAGUUACAAAGUAGUCUUCUUGUUCAUGAACAAAGGAUGACAAGCCAUAGAGAAGAAGAGCAAGUUCUUAAGAUAUCUCAUGAAGAUAGAACUGGAAGAGGAAGAUGUAGAGGCGUGUUUAAAGAAGGUCGAGGAAGAGGAAGGGGCGACAAACCUACAAUAAAGCUAUUGUAGAGUGUUUUUGGUGUCAUCGAUUAGGACACUAUCAAUAUGAGUGUCCUGAUUGGGAGCAAAAGGCCAACUAUGCUGAAUUUAAAGAGAAAGAAGAAAAAGAGAUAUUAUUGAUGUACUAUGUUGAAAUAAAACAUGGCGAGAAGGAAUAAGUGUGGUUUCUUGACUCUAGUUGCAACAAUCAUAUGAAUGGAAACAAAAAGUGAUUCUCGGAUUUAGACGAAGGCUUCAGGCAUACUGUAAAACUUGGAAAUGACAGUAGAAUGGCUGUUAUUGGAAAAUGCAAUGUUCAUAUGCAAGUAAACGGAUUUACUCAGGUAAUUUCAAAUGUUUACUAUAUUCCUGAGUUAAAGAACAAUUUAUUGAGUAUAUGACAACUACAAGAUAAUGGCUUAUCUAUUUUGAUUCAAUAUGGGAAAUAUAUGAUAUAUCAUCCAACAAAAGGAUUAAUUAGGGAAACAAUUAUGAGUGGAAAUAAAAUGUUUUGUUUGGUGGCUUCCAUGAUGCCAAAUGAGUCUACAUGCUUUUAAAACAUGUCAUAAAAUGAAUCUUAUGUUUGGCAUUGUCGGUUUGGUCAAUUAAGCUAUCAAGGAUUGAGAACACUUUUUUUAUAAGAAAAUGGUAAAUGGAUUGCCUUUAAUCCAAAUUCCGAAGAAGCUAUGUAUGGAGUGUUUGAUUGGCAAAAAACAUAAAGACUCUAUGACUAAAAUGAGCUUAUGGAGAGCAUCAAAUAAGCUUCAACUUGUGCAUGCAGAUAUAUGUGGACCCAUUAAACUAUAAUCAAAUAGCAACAAAAAGUACUUCCUAAGUUUUAUAGAUGAUUUUACUCGUAAGACAUGGAUUUACUUCUUACAUGAAAAAUCAGAGGCUUUUACAAUAUUCAAAACUUUUAAAGCUUAUUUUGAAAAGGAGUCGGGUGCAUAUAUCACUUCUUUGAGAACAGAUAGAGGUGGUGAAUUUACCUCAAAUGAGUUUGAAUAAUUUUGCAAAGUCCAUGGCAUAAAAAGACAAUUCACUGCAGCCUAUACUCCUCAACAAAAUGGAGUUGCUGAGAGAAAAAAAUAGGAUGAUAAUGAACAUUAUGCGCUCUAUGUUGGUUGAGAAGAAAGUUCCUAAAAUGUUUUGGCCUGGAGCUGUAAAAUGGAGUGUGCAUAUUCUUAAUAGAUGUCCUACAUUGGCUGUGUAAAAAAAACUCUAGAAGAGGCAUGAAGUGGUGUAAAGCCAACAAUUAAUUACUUUCGAGUUUUUGGAUGUGUGGCUCCUGCACAUAUUCCAUACCAUAAAAGAAGAAAGUUAGAAGAUAAGAGCAAGACGUGUGUUUUGUUAGGAGUAAGCGAUGAAUCAAAGACCUACAAAUUAUAUGAUCCAGUUUCCAAGAAAAUAAUCAUUAGCAAGGAUGUAAUUUUUGAAGAAGAUGUAUGUUGGAACUGGGAUAACAACAAAGAUGAAUGCAAAAUAGAUGUUUUAGAAUGGGAAAGUGAUUAUGAGAAUGACAUUGAAGAGAGAGUAAAGGGAAAUGAAGAGGGAGUCAGAAUGGAAACGAAGAGGGAUGCAACAACGACACUGAAGAGGGAGGAAACAAUGAUGAUACAACAAAUUCCAUUGAAUCUAAUUCAUCUUCAAGUAAAUCACAUGAGGAUGAAUCACCAAAUAUGGUUGAAGGGAGAGUACGAAGAUCACCUUCUUAUUUGGCAUGUUAUGAAACUGGUGAAGGCUUAUUUGACGAAGAUAACUUGAAUGUAACGAUGAUGAUCACUGAAGAUGAUCCCCUCUCAUUUUAGGAAGCUAGAAAGAGCAAUAACUGGAUAGACGCAAUGAGGACAGAAAUUGAAUCAAUAGAGAGAAAAAACAAGACUUGGGAGCUUACUAUUUUACCAAAUGGAAUCUAACCAAUUAGAGUUAAGUGGGUUUAUAAAACUAAACUCAAUGAGAAUGGAGAGAUAUAUAAGUACAAGGUGAGACUAAUGACGAAGGGUUAUGCACAAUAAUAUGGAGUUGACUACAAUGAAGUAUUUACUUCAGUGGCCAGACUGGAUACCAUUCGAUUGAUAUUUGCUUUAGUUGCUCAACAUGGUUGGAAUGUUUUUCAGUUGGAUGUAAAGAGUUCAUUUCUCCACAAUGAACUUGAUGAAGAGGUAUUUAUCAAGCAACCAUUAGAAUAUGAGAAGAAAGGUGAAGAAGAAAAAGUUUACAAGUUAAAAAAGCCUUUGUAUGGCCUUAAGCAAGCACCAAGAAUAUGGUAUAGGACGAUAGAAGCAUACUUUAUUUGAGAAGGCUUUGAGAAAUAUUUUUGUAAACAUACAUUAUUUACAAAAACAAAGGAAGCGAGUGAGUUGUUAAUAGUGAGUCUUUAUGUUGAUGAUUUAAUAUAUACAUGUAAUGAUAUGGAUAUGUGUGGAGAAUUUAAAAAUUCAAUGAUGGUAGAAUUUGACAUGUCUGAUUUGGGAAGGAUGCGGUAUUUUUUAGGAAUUUAGGUAAUACAAUAUCCAAAUGGGUUUUUGUGUUUCAAAGAAGGUAUGCUCAUGAAGUCUUAGUGAGGUUUGAAAUGAAUAAUAGUAACUCAGUGCAGAAUUAUAUUGUGCCGGGAACAAAGUUAUCAAAGAAUAACGAGGGAACCAAAGUUGAUACAACUUUAUACAUGAAGAUGGUUGGAAAUUUGAUGUAUUUGACCGCAACGAGACCUGAUUUAAUGUAUGAAGUAACUCUCAUUAGUAGAUUUAUAUUUUGUCCAACUGAAUCUCACUGGCUUGUAGCAAAAAGGAUACUAAGGUACCUCAAAGGUACAAUUGAAUUGAGUAUUUUUUACAAAAAGGGAGGCAACUCAAACUUGGUGGCAUACACUGACCGUGACUUUGCCGGUGAUUUGGAUGACCGAGAGUACUUUUGGAUUUAUUUUCUUGCUUGAUUAUGUCGUAGUAUCUUGGUCCUCUAAAAAACAAUAUGUUGUGACAUUGUCAACUAUAGAGAUUGAGUACGUAGCUAUUACAUCUUUUGCUUGUCAAUGUCUUUAGUUAAAUAGGGUGUUAGAGAAGUUUGGUCGUAAAGACAAAAUAAACACUAUAAUUCAGUGUGAUAAUAGCUCUACAAUAAAGCUUUCAAAAAAUUCAAUUUUUCAUGAUAGAAACAAACACAUUGUUAUCAAAUUUCAUUUUUGAGAGAUUUGAUAAAAAAUAGAGUUGUGGAAUUAAGCUACUGCAAUUCUCAUGAACAUGUUACAGACAUAAUGACAAAAUCAAUAAAGUUAGAUCAAUAUUUAAAACAUUGUAAGACUAUGAGAAUGAUUGAAGCAUCAAAACUAAAUGCAUUAUGUAUAUAAUGUAAGGGAGUGAGUAUUAAAUAUUUUGUGAUUAUUAUUAUUACUAUUUAUUUAUAUCAUUAAGAAUAUGAUUUGGUAUAUGCUCUCCGUAUAAUAAACGCUUGUAACAAAAUGCCUUCUAUUUUUAAGUUAAAUAUAAUGCUCUAUAUAUAAUAGUUUUUUAUUCUAAAUAAUAACUAUCAUUCUCUCUUAUAUUUAAUAUAUCUUAUAUUUAAUAUAGUAGUUAUUAGUUUACAACAUCCAACUUAUAAUAUAUUUAUUAGGAGAUCUGAAUCUCUCUCUUUACACGUAGAACACACACCUGUAUUUUAUGCAAGAGCAGCGGUAUGCAAGAUUUUCACCUUUCUAGCAACACCAUGAAUCUGAAAGCAAUAGUUAAUGGAUCUCGUAUGCUCGGAUAAAGUGCUUUCAACGCUUUUUAAAUCCGCAUAACGAACAAGUACACACUCUUGAACCAUAAUUGAAAAUAUGAGAAAUUAUAAAAUAGAAGAGUGUGUUUUGUGGGCGUCUAUUUAUACAUGAGGGUGUGAGAUAUAAAUGUUAAGCCAAAUGACAAAGUCUUGCAAGGCUUUCCAGAAGCCACAAAGCAACGUUUAAAACAAAAUGGCAGGUCUUAUAAUUAUUAGUAUAUUAAUAUAUAAUAUGUCAAAUGCUUUUCACGUUCCAUUUUGUUUGAUCUUUGUAACAAUUUUAUCUUUUUUAGUUGUUUUGAUUUUGAAAUAUUCUUUUAAGUCACAAAGAUAUAUUAAAUGUAGUACUUCAAAUUAAAUAUUGAGAUUAAUUGAAAUACACUGUGUAAAAGGAUUUUACACCAUCAGUUAAUUAUAGACGUUAGAUAUUAAAAGAAAUUUGACUUUUAUUUAAAAAAUCUAUAAAGUAAUACAAACGGGUGAUGGUGAUAAACCGACAGUAUAAAACUUUUUACACUGACAGUGUAUAGUAAUUAAUUUCAUAAAUAUUUAUAAAAAACUAUCUAAUUAGUGUUUUUGCAAAUAAUAACUAUUUUUCUUAACAAAAUAUCUAUAAAAGAUUAUUUUGAUUCAAAAAAUUGUUACAAAACAAAAGCAACGAAAAUGAUUAAAUCGUUAAAAAGGUAACAUAAAAAACCAUAACCUAUUUAAAAAAUAUGAAUUAAAAAAAAAGUAAAUCAAACAUAUUUUUUAUAAAUUAUUUUUAACUCAAAAAGAAUGAAAUGAAAAAUGGUUAAAAAAUUAAUGGUGAGGCCUAUAUUAACAAAAAAUUGCACAAGUAUUCUCCUAUAUGUAGAUGUGAAUUAAGAAAAGGGACGUAACAUCCUUAAGAUUAUGAUUAUGAUUUAUUAAUAUAUAUUUUACGACUAAUAUAUAAAUAAUCAACGGUAAUAUAUUUAAUAUUAUUUUUAUUGAGUGAGAAUAUGGACACAUAGAAGUUUAGAAGAGGGAUCAAAUAAACAUUUUUUCUUAAAGACAAUUUUAAAAGAGUUUAAUUGAAAUUCAUUGACAGUGUAAAGAUAUUUUACACUAUCAGUUAAUUACAACCAUUGAAUUUUUAGAGAAGUUUGACUUUUUCUAUAAUCACAUGUAAAGUAACACAAACGGAUGAUUGUGAUGUAUUAACAGUGUAAAAUCUUUUACACUGACAGAGUAUAACAAUUAAUCUCAUUUAAAAAAUAUUUAAGGUCCCAUAAACGAAAUCAUAUAUUUUAAGAAGUAUAGAAGUAAAACACAACACUAAGAGAGCUCAGAAGCAUCUCAAUGAUUUAAACAAAGUGAAAUAAUACAUGAUAUCACUAAAGACUUGAUUGCUUAUAAUGUCGGUCAAUCACAAGACAACCAAAACAAUUUAAAAACUCUUUACUUAGAUGUUCAUUCAAGGCAUCAUUGUCUUUAUGAUAAUCCAAUAAGAUUGAUGCAUCACAGACCUAAGCUUAUACAUUAAAUCUCCAUAAGCACGGUCUAACGUAUAUGACAUACAACGAUGCAAUGAUGCACUAACGCAAUGGCGAUAUUAAUGAAUAGUAGAAAAUUAAAAUAAGGUAAGUGAAAAAGAAAAGAUACACAAAGAUAUAUAGUGGUUCAACAUUCGUUCUUGUUUUGCUUACUAUACUCUUCAAUGGUGUUAAAGAAUCAAUGGAAAAUAAUCACAAUCUUUCACUAUUUUGAUAAGUUUGAUACAAGCAUUUUGAUUACAACGAACUAUCACACAAUAAUUUCAUUUGUUGAAGGAGACACUCAAAGCGCUAACAAAAACAAGAUCUUGAUCUAAUUACCUUGAUAUCCACAACAACUUUCUCCAAGUAUUCAUGUGUGGAAAUUCACCAUAUCCCACUGAUUUCUUAUCUGAUCGAUUGUCAUUAACUAAGCGUUGAUUGGACAACUCCCAACUUUGUCUACGAGCAAUAUUUCUCCAACUCAAUCAAAGAUGGAUAACUUUCAACUUCGCCUUACGAACAAUUGAUAUUUGAUUUUGCCAAAGUAUUACUUGGAGUAUAUUGAAACUCUCUCCUUGGUGGAUACCAAUAAAAGCCAAAUUGCAUUCAAGAAAUGAUACUUGCACCUGGUACAAACAACAAACUUCACACAAAAAAUAUUAGAUAUCCUAAUGUACCACUAGUCUCCUUCAACACUCAAGCUUUAGAGAUGAAGGUCCUUAACAAUGGAAAUUGACUAAGGAUGAAGAUGGUGGACAGUUCUAGGGAAUCUCACAAACAUUCUAAUUCACAAGGUGUUAGUCAAAGAAUUAGAUGUCGGUGAAUGAAGAACACACACACACUGGGUUCUCUCAAAUUUCUGAAUGAGUAGGUCUUGGUUCUUGAUGAAUAUCAUGAGCUUUGUUAAUCAUGAGCAACACUACAAUAUUAAUCCACUCACUCUCUCUAAUUCAUUCAAAACAACAACAAAUUGCACACGAACAAGAUGCAACAAAAAGAAGUGAAUCUGACAUGGAUUAACACUCAAGAAGUUGUUAUAGAGAAGAUGAGAAAAAUCCACGGUGUUAGGAAUAGAUACACUAAAGAAGAGAAGGCAAAUUAAUAUUUUUAUCUCUAUGGGUUUUACCCACAUGUCUCACACACUUGUUACUUUCAUCAAAGAAAUAACUAUUUAAAUCUAAGAUGAAAAAUUGGAUUUGUGAAGCUAUGAUUUGAGUCAAGAAGAAAUUAUAAUUCAAAUCACAAGAUUUUUUUGAUUCAAAUCAAGUUAUAUGCUUGAUUCGAGUCAAUUUGAGCAAAGCACAAAUUUAGCUCCAUGGAGACAUCUGUUUCGAAUCAGAAUUAACACUUGAUUCAAGUCACAUGAGGUUGUGAUUUGAACCAUGUUCAUUUGGUGAUUCGAAUCAAUUAAUCUAGAGGAAAAUCACCAUUUUCACAAGGUUCCUACUUCAAAUCACACUUAACACUUAAUUUGAAUCAAGACACUCAACAUCUUGAGUUAAGUGUUCUAACUUGUGAUUCAAGCCACGUCUGAUGAAACGACAAAACAACAAUUUUUUAGGCUAAAAAAGGAACACUAUCAGGGAUUAAACACUAUUAUUUAUUGAGUAAUGAGGCGAGUCUUAAUGGUGCAAUACUAAAAUAUCCGAAGAGAAUAAAAUAUAAAUCAAAAGCGAAUCAAAUACAAACAUGCGAAUAUUGAAUGAUAAACAAAUUACAAAUACACAAACAAAUUAUAACAAAUAUAUUCAAAUUUGAAAAAACAUGAAGACAAAUAAAUGAUACCAUACGAUAACAUGACUCCACUUUCAAUUUUAUUUUGUAUAGUAUCAUUAAAUGAAUUAAAAUUAAUUUUAAUAUUAUUCAAGAAACAUAUGGCUCUGGAGAUUUUGGAAACGCAAAAAACAUUGUUGACCUAACGUCUCUCUUCUCCAUUCAUACUACCUCUAACAUUCUUGGAAACCAUGGAUGCUAUUUAUCUCCUCCCUAAAAUAGUCCUUAUUCCUCUUUCUUCUCAACCAGAAAAAAAAUAUUUCACCAAAGGGUGACAAGUCCUUCGUAGAUGUGGUUAAUAAUAACAUUUGUGACAUUCCACAAAGCCAAUUUUCGAUCCAUUGUCUCAAAGGAGACAAAUUUUCCAUCACUAUAUUGGAGGAGAAAUAUAAGCUAUAAGUUCAAAUUUUCAAGCAUCUUCUCAAUGGUAUAGUAGGAUGGUCCAAAGGGUCUAUCCCUCUCACAGUGGUUAACUUUAGGCUCAAGCUAAUGGAGUUAUGGUCUUCAAUCGGAAAAUGGGGGUUACAUCGUUAGGGAAAGUAUUCUUCGAGUUAUAUUUUUCUUCUUUGAAGGAUGUUUAUAGGUUAGAUCUUUUAUUGCUUGGAACUUGAAUCAAGGAGUGUUAAAGAUUUUCCCUUUGUCUAUGGACUUUGUGCCUUCCACAUUGAAGCAAACUUCUGCUCAAGUGUGGAUUAGAAUCAAAGGUCUAUUGCAACAAUACUAUUGACCAAAUAUCAUCUUUUUAAUCUCAAGUACUUUGGAAACCUCCAUAUGUAUUGAUUCUUCAUCUAACAAGCUAACUUUUUAGACCUUUUGGACAUUUUGUUAGGUUUUUUUAUAGAUCCGGACCUAACAAAAGAGUUCAGUUAUAAGAUCCUGGUAGAAAGAGAAAGGUUUGCUUUCUUUAUGGAUAUUAAAUAUGAAAAAGUGCAUGAAGUAUGUACAUUUUGUACUUGUAUAAGUCACUCUCUUAGAAUAUGUAAAAGGAAGAAUCAACAGUUAGAAAAGAAAUUGGAUCACACUACUCUUAAACCAAGGGAUACAAUUUGUGUAUAUUCCUAUAGCGAAGAAAAUUAUGAACGAAGAUCUCUACAAAGUUUCCUUAGAUAAUAAGAAACAUAAGGAAACUCUUGCUAACACUCAAAUGGAGGUAACUAGUGGGGUGGAAAAGGGUAACAUAUUGCCUUUAAAUGGUACUAAACAAAUUAUUGAAAUAAGGGGAAAUGAUGCUAGCAAUGGCAAUGAAUUUGUGGGUACCACACAAAUGGUAGAAAAGGUCCCUGAAACACAAGCCAUAUUGGAGUAUGAUAAAGAAAAUGUCAAAUACUUUUUGGAAAUAUCAUGGGACAAUAUGGCUGAUAUGGAUGAAGGAGAAAAUCAAGAUGAAGGUGCUUAUCUAGAAGAUAGCUUAAAUUGGUAACUUCAAAGAAAAGAAAGAAAAAGCAUAAUUCAAAAGAUAGAAAAAAAAUACUAGAUUCAUGUCUAGUUUCUCAAAACCUUCCUCAUGAAGUAUUUAUAUCGAAACAUCAAAGGAGUUGCCAAUAUAUCUUCUAGAUUGGCUCUAAAGAGAUUGAUCAAAUCCAAUAAACCAAACCUGGUUCUUAUAGCUGAACCUUGGAAGAAUUUCAGUCAUUUUCCUAAAAAUUGGUUUACCUGGCUAGACCUUAAGAAAUUUGCAAAUAAUAUGCCUGAAUUACCUCUGAACAUGUGGUACAUGUGCAAAGCUCAUUUGGAUCCCAAAGUUAUCUUUUGUGAUGAUCAACAUGUUAUAUUCUCUGUCAAAUCUCAAAACAAAACUUUUGGUUUCACAACCAUCUAGGUUACCACCAACUAUCUGCAUAGAAGACCUAUGUGGAAUAACUUGUCAUUCUGAGAGCAAAAGCCAUUUGUUUUUUGAAUGCCAAUUUACUUCCAAUAUAUGGAUAUGGUUCUCAUAUUCCUUCAACCUCCACAAUCCCAUGAUCAACUUUUUGGAUUGUUGGAAAUCCAUAAACUCAUAUUGGUCCCCUCAUAUGCGCAUAUGUUGUAAUCACCUUUAGUAUUAUCAAUAUGUUCUAUGCUGUAUGGUGUACCAUAAACAAGAUAAGAUUUGAUAGCAAGGUUAUGUAUUGGAAAGCUUGUAUGGAUUCAAUUUAUUUGAAUGUCAAGAUAUAUGGAAAUCAUACUGAUAAGUCUUCCGACUCCUCCAUGGCCGGCUUUUGCAUUCUUAAAAAAUUGAACAUAUCUAUUCAUCCUCCUAAGCUGAAGAAGGCUUUGGAAAUUUUGUAGCAGCCUUCUACUUUAGGUUGGAUUAAAUGAAAUAUUUAUAACAUGGCUAAGGGAGUUCCUACUUUAUGUUCCUACAGUGAAAUUUUUAGAAAUGAGACAUCAGAUCAUGUUGGAAGUUUUGAUUCCUUUUUGGAAGAGGGUAAUGCUUUAUUGGCUGAACUGAAUGCAACAAUGAUGGCAAUCGAGCUUGCUUUUGAAAGGAAAUAGAGGUUGCUUUGGCUUGAAUCAGAUUCAAUUCUUGUGGUGAAAGCCUUCUCCAAUGCGAAUUUGGUUCCUUGGAGGAUUAGAACUCGAUGGUUAAACUGCUUCUCUCUCUCUCUCUCUCACACACACACACACACACGCACGCACACACACACACGCACACACACACACACACGCACAUGCACAGCAUGCACACACACGCACACCACACGCAACAGCACGCAUGCACACACCCCCCCCACACACAUACACAUCCACACACACCCCCCCCCACACCCACACACACACACACACACACACAACACACACACACAACAACACACACACACACACACACUUAUAGAAGGCAAUACUUAUGCAGACAAAUUUGCUAGCAUUAAACUGUUUCUCUCUCUCUCUCACACAACAACACACACACACCACAUGCGACACGGCACACGCACACGCACGCACACGCACGCACACACACACACACACACACACGCAUGCACACACAUGCACACACACAUGCACACACGCGCGCACACACACACACACACUUAUAGAAGGCAAUACUUAUGCAGACAAACUUGCUAGCAUUAAUUUUCUAUCUAGAUCUCACUAUUGGUUCCAUUGUGUGCAUAAUUUCAUAACCAAUAACCAAAGAUUUCUUCACACACACUUAUAGAAGGCAAUACUUAUGCAGGCAAACUUGCUAGCAUUAAUUUUCUAUCUAGAUCUUACUAUUGGUUCCAUUGUGUGCAUAAUUUCAUAACCAAUAACCAAAGAUUUCUUUGGCUUUUAUAUAUUCAAUUUUUUGGUUAAAAAAUUUAAUAUAUUUUUUGUGUUUAUUAAUUAAAAAACAUUUUUUAAUAUAAAAUAAUAAAUGAGAAGGAAAAAAAAAUGAGGUAUGAACUAGUCAUUCAAAUAAUCAACACCUUUGUGGGGGGACUUUUUUUGUUUUGUUUUGUUUUGAAGAGCUCUAAUAGUUGGGCAUCUAUGAGAAUGAAUUGAAGAUUUUAGUAUUUAAGAAAUUUAUAACAAAGAAAGACUUUAUUUCAAAAAAAAACUUAAAAUAAAAAUAAAAUAAUUCAAAUAAAAGUUAGAAAAGUAAAGAUGUGCAGUAUGUCUCAUAGAAAAACGAAAAAGAAAGUAAAGCUGUCAUGCCUCGUAUAUAUAUAUAUGCUUAAAUAAAUAAUUGGAGAUCAUAUGGCAUAUAAUAUACUAUCACAACACUUUUCUUUUAAUUUGAGUAUUUUCUUAUUGCAUUUACGAAAGAAAUUAAUUUUUUUACUUGUAUACAGAAAUAGAUAUAAUCUUACAGUUUGUUUUCAAAUAGAUCGUUAAAGUUAUAAAUAUAUCCAAACACAAUUGAUUUUGUUACAGUUUUAUUUAUACUAAUUCUUUAAUAUUAAUACAUAUUUUAUUGAUUAUAAAUAAUUAAAUAUAGAAAUCAAAUUGUUAGUUGCUAAAUAUUUAUCACAAAAAAUUCGAUAAUAAAAGCUUUUUCAAAAUUUAUUAAUUUUAAAUAUUAACAAUUUAUUUACAACAACAUAUUAUAAAAGAAUUUUUCUUAAAAUAAUCAUUUUUUUAAAAGAAAUUAUUGGAGUAACCACAUUUUCAAACAAAUGCGUCAGAUCAACUGACGCAUCCAUUUAACAUGAAGAGGAUGCGCCAACGCCACUGGUACUGGCGCAUGCUUUCAAAACAUUGCAUGGAGGUGCCAGCAACCAUGACGCAUGUACAUGUGCAUUGUUGUAUACGCCUAUUCAAAUUCAUCUGACGCAUACACUUAAAUAUUUAUUUUUAUUUUUAAUGGUUAUUUAACAAUUAAUUAAAUAAAAUAUUUAUUUUUUAAAUUUAUAUUAUAAUAAAAAUUACAUGGAAUUGACCAAAAAUUCAAUGACCGGGCCGAUGAAAACGUCCCCCUGUUCCACAUCCAGGUGCGUUAGUCUGUCUUCGAGGUCUCCCACGAUUUUCCUGAGGUGUUUGGGGUCUUUGAUUGCUGACAUGAUCCAAUGGUGGUUAGUGUGAAUGUUUGGUGGAAGGUCCAACGGUAUUUGAUAGAUGUGUCAUCAUUUGUCCCCAAUAGUCAGGGGACUCUGGCCAACGACGCUUCUGUAAUGUUGUUCGGUGCCCAUGUUAUCGUAGUUGGGUCGAUGUGGUUGGGUGAAUUGUGAAUGGUAUAGUUUCCCGAAUUGGGACAUUGAAUCAUUUUGGAAACGAAGCAAUGGUUCCUGGGGUGUACUAUAGUUAAACAAUAGUUGGGUGUUGUGGUAAUGGGAUGUUUGGGUGGUCAUUGGUGGGGGCUACGAUGAAGUGAAUCGUAUGAAUCAUAUGGGCUAUAGAAUGUUAUGGUGGUUGCGUAUGGUUGUUGGUGGGUAUGGUUUUAUUCUUGCUUUUGAGGUUGGGUGGGUGACAUAAAUGGAUUGCGAGGUUGGGUGUUUGGCAUGAAUGGGUUGUGAAGUUGGGUGUUUGGUUGUCUGGUGUAUGUGGUAGGGUGAUGGUGUGAGGUUGGUUGUUGGGUUUGGGUGGUUUGACAUUGGUGUUGGACGGGAACUUGUUGUUGAGCAUAUGAUGACUAAACUAGUUGGCGUGGAUCAAUCAAAUACCUUGGCUCAGACAUAAAUUAUUGCAUUGUAACCGACCUAAACCAUGCCAUAUAUUGUUGAGUUGGUCUAGCACCAUGUAUGACUAGUUCGUUUAAGAUGUGUUGUCGUCGAUUCCUCCAAUGACGACACAUCUCUUUUGCAAAGUCUUUCCAGUCGGAAUAAUCCCAUUGGACAUUGACUCUUUUUUGAUGUCAAUCUCCCAAAUACAUCGGAGGUUCUAGAAUUUGUUGAUGCAUGCCGAACUGCAGUUUUACCCUGUCACUCUGGUGCAUCUCCACAGUAGUGAACCGGAUAAUUGAUGUCUUUAUUGUCCAAACUGCAUCAUCGUCAUGAUUAACCUGAUGAUCAAGACCCAGAUAUGGCCUCCAGAUAAACUGUACAACAAUACGACAUGAUUAGAUGAGAAAUAAUUUGAUAAAUAUUUUUAAAUUAAAAUAGACUUGUGUAGGAGUAUUACAUCGCCUGGUCCAAUGUGAUCCAAUAGAUUGCGAUAGACUAAUAUAACGUAUUUCAGACACCUAUUGUAGUUCAUUCCUCUAACUGACCACCUAGAUCAAAAACAAUUGAAAAAUAUUAUUUACAGUUAAUUGUAAUAUAAAGUCUAAUUAAUUAUAUGGUAAAGUUUUAAACUUACUUUGUUGCAAACAUGAAUAUGAAUGGCUUCUCGUUUAGCAGGGCAAGUGACGACAUUCUUAACCAACCCCAUGCUUGUAGAAAAUACGCGCGUGAAUAAAAAGAACAAGUAUUUUUUUUGGCAUUUUUACACAUCGCACUAUAUAGAUGGGCCAAAACAGUUGUACCCCAACUACAUGUGCUUACCUUAUUUAUGUUACGUAACAUCGAUAAAUACAUAAUAUUUACCGUAUUAACAGUACUUUCUGGAAAUAAAAAAUUACAAAAUAAAAUCAUAAUAUAACACCGAACUUUAAUUAUUUUUUCAUACUCGGUAGAUUCUUCGGUCAAUAUUAUACUUACAUAAUAUUGUUUGAGAUAUCUUAAAUUUAUACCUUGCCCCCUAGCUUGACUGGAUGUCUCUCCCGCAGCUUGGUCGUCAUACAAAGGGGCACCCAAUAAUUCAUUGCAGAUAGAGUUAUCCUAAUUAACUCUACCAUUCACGACCUUACCAUCGAUACGUAGACCCAACAACAUGUAGACAUUCUCAAGUGUGAUGGUACACUCACCGAAAGUAAGGUGAAAUGUGUGAGUCUCGGGUCUCCAUCUCUCCAACCAAGCAAGAAUAAAUUUGUAGUUAACCGAGUACGAGACUAUGUUGAGGAGAUUUCCAAAACCACGUCCUCUAAUAUAUGGUUAUAGCAAAGGAUCGUGGGAUACAUAUUUAUGUACAUAGCAUCGAAAUCGUUUUGGGUCCUAAUAAAACAUAAUUAAGAAAUAAAAUAAGAAGAAGUAAUAUACAAUAAAAACAUAAAUAAGAAAUAAAUACGAAAUAAGUAAAAAGAAAUAAUAACAUACAAAUGUCGAGAUAUUGUCGAUUGUUUCUUGGUGUUCAUCACCCAUAGUCAAUAGAGACAUAAUGUUGCAGAGAUUGAGUAUGGUAAAGAUGGAGUGUUGCAGAGGUUGAUUGUUAGUGUUGCAGAUGAUGAGAUGUUGUGAGUUGAUGCCCUAUUUAUAGAUGAAUAGUGUUACAUGGAAAUGGAAUAUUACACCGUCUCUUUUGGGCGUAUUAACCAUGCAUUAAAGAUUUUUAUUUCUGUAAACCUAUUAUACAAAUUGAUGGUACAUGGUUGUACAGGAAAUAUAAAGGAACGUUAUUGAUGGCAGUGGCACAAGAUGGUAACAACAACAUUUUUCCAAUCGCAUUUUUCCUUGUUGAAGGGGAGACUGCUGAGGGAUGGAGUUUUUUUCCUAAGAAAUCUCCGAUUGCACGUUGCUCCUCAACCUAACUUAUGUUUGAUCUCCGACUGACACCCUUCAAUAGUCAGUGCAUACAAAAACAUUGAUAAUGACUGGCAGGAUCCCCCGUCAAUUCAUGUCUUCUGCAUUAGACAUAUCGCUCAGAAUCUUAUGCGGGAGAUCAAAGACAAAACGUUGCGGAAGAAGGUUGUCAAUGCAGACGUUCCAAAUGGAGUCCAAUGUUGCAAUUUGGGCAGUUUUUCAUUAGACACAAAGCUUCCAAAGUAAAAACACACGUGGUCACGGUGUUUGGCCAUACUAAAGGUUGGUACAGUGUUUCUGAGUCCAUGGAUCAUAAUGAAAGCAUGUCGAUGGGAUAAUACAGAGUGGAACUAGAUAGAGGUUGGUGUGACUGUGAAAAGUUUCAAUCCUUUCGUACGCCCUGCUCCCAUGUCAUCAUGGCAUGUUCAAAGGUUCGAAGGGAUUCAUCCUACUUACUAUAUGACGUUUACAAAGUCAUAAGCCUAUCAAAUGUUUACAAAGUUAGUUUUUUAGUGGUGGCAAAAGAGGAUUACUGGCCAGAAUAUCAAGGGGACAUUGUCUGGCACAAUGAAGUUAUGCGAAGAAAGAAAAAGGGUCGCCCAAACAGCACCCAUAUUCGAGCCGAAAUGGAUACGGCGAACAAAAUGGUUUGAUUAUGUAGUUCAUGUCGUCAGCCUGGUCACAAUCGUACUAACUGUCCUAGUGUUGGAAUGCGCACAACAAGAUAAAUUUACAUGUACCUCUUUUGCAAUAUAUAUAAAACAAAAUUUAUUUCAUACGAUAACUUUGUGAGAAAAUACCAUCACAAACAAAUACAAGACAUUCAACACACAAACAACACAUAAACAACAACACAAAAAACUAAAACAAUUAAAAUACCAUUACUAUAACCAAGCGAUUACAACCAUAAAAACAAUUUUGAACAUAUAAUGCAUCAUCAUGUGAACGUCUCUGUCAGUCUUGAUAUCCACCCAUUCACGCACUUCUCCAUUUUGGUUGAACAUGGACACAAGCCAUUGGAUUAUUCUAAUCCUUUCACCAUCUGCAAUUUCUCCAUCUAACCAAAGGUUUAACGUCUGAUUAAGACGUUCAAACAAAUAUAUAUUUCAAAGUCAAUUUUUUAUCGGAGGUGCAACGGCGGAAAAGAUUAAAUUGACAUUUCUCUUGUGAAUGUAUUCAGACAUGGUUAAAAAUAAAAAAACACUACGCCAAAUAAGGGAAAAGAGGGCGCUUAUUUUGGCCUAUAACAGCGCUUUUAAGCGCCCUCUAAAGUGGCGCUGACAUAGGUAAAGACAGCGCUUUGUUUUCCUGGAGAAAACGCUGUCUAAAGUGGCCCUUUAAGGGCCACAUUAUAGUGCGCUUUCAGAAAAAAGCGCCCUCUGGAGUGGUCCAUAAAGGGACACCUUAGAAGGCGCUUUCUGGAAAAAGCGCCCUAGUGUCAAUGUAAAGUGUUUAGAGGCGCUUUCUGGACAAAGCGCCCUCUAAAGUUGUCAAUGUAAAGUGUUUAGAGGGCGCUUCCUACAGAAAGCGCCCUCUAAAGUGUUAGUUUAUUUAAAAAAUUUGUUUUGAAAAACAGUGGAUAUUAAUUGGUACUGUUCGCAUACUGCAAAAGUGUAAAAUUCAUAUGAUUUCAUCCUUUAAUCCAAUGUUAUACACAUUAAUCCAUUGAUAUAUACAACAUGAAUCCAUUAUAUACACACAUUAAUCCUCCAUAUAUACAACAUUAAUAUAUGAUUCUUGAUCAACAAUAUACAACACAUAUUUCAUGAUUAGUAAAAGUACAACAACAAUAUACAACAUAUAUACAACAACAGCAUACAACAACACAUUCCAUACAUAUGUCAACAAUAUACAACCUAGCUAUAUGAUUCUUUGAUCAACAAUGAAUUGACACAAUUCAUCCUUCAUUUUAUCCAAAUAAGCUCUUGAGUAGAUUGUAUUGUUUCCAAAGUACUACAAUUAAGAGAUAAAACAUAUUCAUGAAUGUAACAAAUUAGAUGAAUAUCCGAUAAUAUUAAAAUAAACCCUAAGUUAUUAUUCCAUACCAUUUUGGAUGUCUAUACGAUUCAACGCAGUGAUAUCUCUCAUAAAUCUCAAUACAAAAAAUCCGCAAUCGAUCGAAUUGUUUGCUGAGGACACUACACAGAAAAACAAACAAUAUAUAUAUAGUUAAUUUCUUAACACACUAUUAUAAGCAAAAAAACAAACACUAAUAAAGCAAAAAUAAGAUACUUAAUAUAUACCUGAACUCUGAUCCAGGUAAUGUCCUUCUAUUACGGUAAUUCUUUUUCGAUCUAAAUUUUAGUAUGUGCCCUAACAAAAUAAAAACGUAUAUUGAGAUCAAUCUGACAGACAUAAUUAAAUAUACAAUUACACACGAAUAUUUAGGGGAAUUUCACUUACGCGUCAACCGUCUUCUUCAUACUCGGAUAUUUACUCCAAUCACCGAUAACGAAUCGAGAUAAUACACCAUUAGUCUCGAAAGAUCCAUACGAACCAACACCCAGUGACCACGUAUAAACAAAAUUUAGAUGCAUGAGAAAUUUUCUACGUAAAGAUAUACUAGUUUAGAGAUUUAGAGAAAUCUAACCCGUUGCAGAAUUAAACGGUAAAAUACAAACUGGUGUAGUAUUAUCGCCGGCCCUGCAAUGCUAUCGACUAGUUCAUUCUUUACGGAUGUUGGAUUUUGUUAUAAACGUUGUGUUGAUACGGGGCAGCAAUAAAAUUGAAUCGGUUACAUCACUUCAGUUCCCGCACAAUGCUUACAUACUUACCUUAAUGAGCAUAAAAACAUUAGACUACUCUGAAAUGUGUAAAUAAAUUGUUCAAUAAAGUAAAUAAUAGAUUGAUCGGAGUACCAUAUGUAUGUAUGAAUGACAACGAUGCCAACAAUUUUCGUGUUCAAAAGUUGUGCAUGUCCUCCUUUGCAAAUUAUCAGAAUGAGCAACCGAAACACUUUCAUCAAAAUCUACACUACGAAUGGCGCCGUGCAUAAUAUCGGACUCUUCUCACCAUUUUCUCAAGACGCAUCAUAAUUAAGAUUUUGUCCCGGACGUCGUUGGAAUUACGUUACCAGCUUUUUCAACUUUCGACCGGACCUAAAAUUCAUAUAAAUUAAAUCAUGACUUUUUGUGAUGCAACAGAAUCGUUGCGUAUAUAAUUCAAUGGGUAUAUAUAUUGUACCUCUUUUUGAGAUGCAACCGACUCGAUGCGUCUUGAAAUCCCUUUACCAGCUUUAUGUGUGGUCUUGUAGGAGUCUAACAUUACCAUGUAAUAAGGAUUGAUUAAUAUCAUAAUUGAAGCUGAAUUGAAAUGAAUACUAAAUAUUCAUAAUCAUUUAGAACAUAUAUACCGUCGGCAUCUGGGAAAAUUAGAUCUGACGGCCAUCCAACAAAGGAUCCGACUGCAUCUCGCAUCAACGUUGUCUCUGAAACAACGUCAGGUAAUGGUAGAAGCGCGUCGGUAUCUAAUACAAGGUCAACCGAAACUUUCAUAUAUCCCACCGGGAGGGGAUUAUGGUGAAGUAAUUCACCCGAAGUGUUGUGCACUUUCCCUUGCCAACAUGCGAUAAGUUGGUGACGAUAAGAUACAACUGACAAGGUGUAAUGCCCUAAACCAAUAAUAAAUGUUAUUGUUAACGUGUAUAUGUGUCAAGUAAAAAAGUGUUAUUUUAAUUUCAUAAUAAAUAUAAUAUUACUCGGGAAAUUUCGGUUGACAAUUGAUACUAGCUCGGUCACUAGUAUCUUUUGCCUCGGAACCGCACCUUUUCUCUCUAUACCUUGCAUUCUCCUUUUGCAGUUCGAGUACUUAUGCCCUUAACUCCGCCAAGGUGUCCAUCACCUCUUUGUUGGUAGGAUUUUUGUUUUUGGUUUUAUAAAAUGACGACGGAGUCACACCAAAACCCUUACCCCUCACACGACCGAAUACUCAGGAACAUUUAGUACUCGACUAAGUACGCUCCUGCAAUCCUGGACCUCGGUUGAAGGAAGGUUUGGAUAAAGUCUCCUGAAAUAUAAUUAGAGGAGAUUAAAAAUGAAUUAUAUGUCUAACAAAAUUUCGAUAUAAUUAAAGAAAUAAUGUUUCAUAUACUUACACAUUCGUAUAAACAUUUUGAACCGCUUCAACGACACGCCCAUCCUCCACCCGAGCAGCCUUCCACAAUACGUGCUCCGGAAGAGAUGUUGCGUCACUUUCUCCUCGGUUAGCUACAAAUGGAAUCAGAUUAUAAAGAUCAUCAAUUAUAACAUAUUGUGACAAUGUAUAAGCUCAUAGCAUUUGAAUAUACUCACAAUUCUUGUUGUAACCGUGCAUAUCCGUACGCCCUUUUUUGUACGGAUACGCGGGUUUUAAUGCCUUUCCGAUUUUUGUCGCUUACUUCUGGAUAAAAAAGUUUAAGGCAUAUUAGAACCAAGUAACUUAACAAUUGUAUACACAUAAUUAAUAGACAUUAUUGGAAUUUUCGUUUCUUCUCGUUUGGCGACAAAGUUAUCCCAUUCUUCGCUGAAAUAAUCUCCGCAUACUUCAUUGCCGCGUUGCUUCAACAAAGUUCUUCUUCUCAUCCUUGAGAAAUUUGUUGGACAAAAAGGAUCGAAAUCAUCGGAGUUUUUUUCCGGCCAAUUGAAUACAAUAUUUUUGCCGGCUUUCAUCGAUGUGAAAGGAUCUCUAAAAACAUACAAAUGGAGUGUUUGUAUUAU
rnacentral:lncRNA from 1 species